UUUUUUUUUUUUGCCACGUCAAACGAAACCAGGGACUAUACUGCCGAGGGACCUUAUUUGCACGGGUUUUAUAAGUUGGGGAUGCGUUGUAUCUGGUUUUGUGCUGCAGGGACGAAAAUCGGACUAAGAGACAAAUAAAGGGACCUAAAGUGAACUUAUGCCUUCUUUGUUACAGUUUGUCAGCGCUGCUGCUGAGACGGCCCAGGCCCACGGCCCACAUUCCUCCUCUCUCUUUCUCUCUCGCUUCUCCAACGCCACACAGCGAGAAAAAAACGCAACAACGCUGGCGACCUUCCUGACGACGCCGACGAGCUCGACCUCCCCGACGGUGAGGCGAUCCAGGUCAGCUCCGCGCCUCCUCCUCCUCCUCCUCCUCCACAUCCCCUCGCCCCGCCCCUCCGCCGCCGCCGCCGCCGGUCCUCUGCCUCCCAGGCCAUCCCUCUAAGACCAUGGAAUCCAUCCCCCACUUCCUCUCCCCCGGAAACCCUAAACCCAAACCCCCAUUGCCGCGUUCAGACAUUCGCGGAUUAAGGUUUUCGGGCCUAGUGGGACGUGGUGUUUGGAGCUGCCACUCACUUUCUCAGAUAGUGUUUGGAGCUUGGUUCUGAUUAACAUUGAUGCAUACAGGCGUUUUCAGGAUGGGCAGUGAGGACACAAAAGAUAUGCUGAAGAAUGUGGACUGGAAAACAGUUGGUGGUUCGGUGAGCACCGACCCAAGCCAACCAGUUGUUAAAAAGCGUCUCCCGAAGAAAAUCAGACAAGUUCCUGAAUGCUAUUUUCUGCCUCGGCGAUCUUUGCCUUCUGCAUUGGCAAUCUAUGGCGCUGCGUGUGCUGCUGGAGUUGGCGCAGGGAUGCUGCUUGAGGUUUGGAUAAACAAAAAGAUCAAAGGUGCAUUCUUGUUUUAUUUGGUAGCAGGAGGGGCCAUUCAACUUAGGAAAAGUCUAUACGUACUAACUUUUUCUUACUAAAUUUUUACUAACACUGACAUGUCAUGCUAUGAGUCCAUCUAGAUUUUUUAUAACUUCCAUCUGCUUAAAUCAAACGGUUGAUAUGAUUGUUAGUACAAAUUUAGUAAGAAAAAAUUAGUACGUGUAGCAGUGCUCUUCAACUUACGUUCUUGCAAAGUAACUGUUUUCUUGAAAACUUAUGAUGUUGUAUUAUACAAUUGAAAGCAUUACUCUUCUUUUGUCUUGGAUAAUGUUGGGUUGAACAAUUGAAAGCAUGUAACACCUUUUUGUUUGUUGCCUGUAUAUUUUUGUACAUAUACUUACUCUUCUUACUUGCUGAUGCAGAGGACAGUGCCAUUGUCUGGGAAAUGGGCAAAUGAUUUGAUUGCUACCUCUGAAGAGUUCUCCUUGCUCGUGUUCAGCUGCUAAAGCUGCAUCUCAGAAAUAAUCUUAGCUAUAUUGGUUCUGAUUAUCUUUUGAUUCCCAGACAAAGUAAAACUAUCCUUUCUAAUGUAUGACACUGCCUUACAUCUACAUUUCUGGUUUCAUUUUGAAUGCUAGCAUAACAGUAUGGUGUAACAGGAAAUAUCAGAAAUAACGGUGUUACGGAAUGAGCCAUUUCUGUUUGGCAUUAUCAGUUGUACGAAUUAAUUGAUUGUGUGGACAGUGGUAGUUACAUGCUCUGAUGGAAAUAUCAAAAAUCAUUUGGCCUACAAAGUUAUGAAGUGUGCUCUCUGCUCAAACAAAAGAUUUUGAUAUCUGUAUGAGGAAGCCUCCAGCGUAUCUACGCUAGUAAACAUUUUUGGGGGUUCUCAAUUCCUUCCCGUACUCUGAUUAUGAAUGUAAACUUGCCUGCUAAUGAAUAGAAUGUCCGAUUUUUAUCUAAAAAAAUAGAAAAACAUUUUUCUUUUCAACAAAAAUGGAUCCUAUAGAUCAAAACAAAGGGCAGCUAGAGACGCAUGCCUCAUGAAAACAAAACUGCGAUUAUAAAACAGAACUGUACUAGAUUCUAAACAUUAUGAAACUGUGUGCAUUACAGCAGAACAUUGAAGCUUUUCAAGCGUCACGUCCAGAUUAGCUUCACUGAUUAAUGCUUCACAUAUCAGGACACACUGGCAAUGAAGAAGCAGUUUGCACUAAGCCAGCAGCAUCUACAGUGUCACUACUCGCUACUACUAGACUAUUUCUACAGGCGAGCUGCCAAAUGCACUCUCCACUUCUCCUAAAUUUAGCUUCAGCUUCAAGGAACUAUUUGGUAGAGCUCCAACUUCUAAAUUUAGCUCCUCCGGCUGUGUUUAGUUCAGCGCAAAGUUUGGAUUUUGGUUGAAAUUGAAGAUGAUGUGACUAAAGUUGUGUAUGACAGGUUGAUGUGAUGGAAAAGGACUGAAGUUUGGAUCCAAACUUUGGAUCUAAACACAGCCUAAAUUUAGCUUCAGCUUCAAAGACCUGUUUGGUAGAACUCCAACUUCUAAAUUUAGCUUAAGUCUAAAGUGGAGUUGUUUAUUUUAUGAUAGCGUUCCACCCAGCUCUGCUCUCAUUUUAGGUGAAGCUGAAACUGUUUAGCUGAGCUCCAGCUACAGGAAAGGUUAAGAUGAAGCUGAAGUUGUGCCAAACAGGCCCUUGAUCUCAAGCAACAACGGACAAUUCGCAGUAAUUAAAUGAAGGAUAACAGAAGCAUGAAAAUGACUUCAUCUAUACUACCAUUUCAGUAUUCCAGCAAGACUUUCAUUAAAUAAGCAUCUCUUGUCCGUUACAAUGUGCCUUGCUCCCAGUAUAGACACAUAUGUACUUAUGUAGUUUCGAGUCUCAUGUCCGUUGAAUAUAUAGAUAUAUAAUAUAUGACAAUAUACAGAACCAAAAAAAAAAGGGAAAAAGACGAACUCCGGAAGCUGGACGAGCAAAAUCCAGUAGCUUCUGCAUGUAUAAACCUCCUUGCCUGAGAAUUAUUUACCGAGGGAAUGGAUCCGAGUCUCCCAGUGCCGCGAACUGCCGAUGAGAACUAUCGAGCCUGACAUUCAAAAACCUUCCUUUUCUUUCCCGUUUCAGAGAACAGAAGAACGCAAAAAUUGCAAGUGAAUCGAGCUUGCCUGUAACCUAUGAAUGCUUUAUUGAGAUGGCAGAGAAACACCACCCUCGCCGAGCCUUCUCUACAGAGGCCACAGCUUUUUAUUCACAUUGGAGGGGCCUAUCAUAACUGAUGUGGAAAUGUGCAGAAUAGAUUGCAUUAGCACUUUAGCGGCGCCACAUAUAGUAUAAUAAGGGGGAAAUCAAGGAGAAUUCAAACCAACCUGUGUCAAGUGAUUGAAAAAUUGUGCUGAGAUCUCUCAGCUCAGAAAAAUCAGCGACCACCGCCAGGACUCGAGCUACCACCAGAUGUUGUGUUAGUCUGAGCACGCAUCAUGGUGUCUGCUGGGAAAACCCCUUUCGGCAAUAUUGAUCCAACAGGCUCGGAUGCUGCCACUGGCGAUGUUACUUGGUUGACAGAUUGGUCUUUGGUCGAAAUGUAUUCUGGCCUUAAAUCCGGGGAAGGCGAAGACGGAGCCAAUGUGGCAAUAGAGAAGCCAAUAGGAUAUGGGGCAAUUGGCAUAUCAGAGAGGGGCAAAGCAGACGGACUGUAGCCAAGCGUGCCCAUUGGGUGAUCAUACUUGCAUGCAACUCCAUAUCUGCAAUACCCAUUUUGGGCAUAGUAUGCACAAGGCUGAGCCCCCUGCAAGUUGAGAUAACACAAGCAGCUUAGCAAGAAACCAAGGAGCAUUUUCUCUACAAAAAAGCAAAGACAAAAACAUAGGUCUAUGUGCAAUCACCAAUCAACUUCUUCCAAACAUACUAUGCAAGCCUGACACUAUAGAUGAUUAAUGCACGAAUGUGCUGUCUCCUAGCAUAAAUUUUAAGAACUGUGUAAACCUUUUGGGCAGUGCAAACUAAUUCAGGAUAUCACACUGAAAAACAAUUAGUAUGAGUUUGCAACUAAAGAAGGGGAUCUUACAAGACCUCCAAACUAAUUAUAGAAAAGAAAGUAAUAUCACCAAUGGAUAUUUUUAACAAUAUAGGACAUAUUUCCCUACAAAGCAAGUUAAAUCAGACACUAGCAUUUGAAAUUAUGCGUAUUAGGCUAUUUAAAGUCCAUGUAUCUGUUGAAGUUUGCGCUUCACUCAGAUAGUGAUCUCUGAUUUAUGGGAAUAUUUGGGAGCCCCUGUUUCUAUAACUUGCUGAGUUACACUGACGUGUGGGCCAAACAUGGCUCAUCCUCACAUUCAAUGUUAUUUUCAAUUUAUACAUGCUCAGUGUUAUUGAGUAAGUUUUCCCUCUGAAAUAUUAUAAAUGCUUAUUAAGUCAAAAAAAAACAUUAUGAAUGCUUCAUCCAAUAACAAUUUAAGCUGCAAAUAGCUUCAAAACUCAGGAGCUAAGUUUGAACAAUGUAUCUUACUUGAUACAUUCAAGUUUCAACCAAUCUUUGGCCCAUAAAAGUUAUAUACUAGUAGAUGACAAUAUAACACAGUUAAUAUUUAUCAGCUAACCAAAAUUAUUAAGUAAUCAACUAUGUUCCAUGAUCUCAUAAUCCCUAAAUACUCAGCAUAAGAAAGCUUACAAUGCCUAAUUGCCCAAUAAUCUGCUUCUUCUUUUUGUGAUUACAAGAAAGAUGCACAUGUGCACACACACAGAAACAUGAGCACAUGCAUAAGUGCGCCUCCUUUUAACACAUACUCAAACACACAGGCCAAGGAUAAAUCCAUGAACCUCAAUAAAAUUCCUAGUGAAAGUGCACAUAGAGAACAUUAUCGUUAGGAGGCUUCAACGAGUAGUGGACAUAAUCAUAUGACUAGUUCCUACAACCUGUUUUUCAAAACAAAAAUAUAUGUGCAGCCUUUUUUUUUAAAAAAAAAAGAAAAAACAUGGACAUUAGGACUAUGGAAGUUCAACCCCACUCCCAAGGACAUUGAUGCUACGGUACGUAUUAGAGGUUUCAGGGUACUCACCGGACGAAGUGGAAGACAAAGGGAGUUGACCAUAUAGCCUGAUUUAGGUGCACUCAACUCUCGGGGGUGAUGAUAUUUACAUGUAGCUCCAAAUUUGCAAUCUCCUGUUCUCAUAUAAUAUUGACAAUCAGGCUGCCCUGGCCGCUCAGGGAAUCCAUGUUCUUGUUGAUUGUUGCUUGAUUGUCCAGUUGAGGAAGCAUAUGGAACGUAAGGACCACCAUAAGCAAUUGUAGAGGAAGAUCCAUGGUGCCCCAUGCCGUACACAGGUCCAGCUUGAACAUUUUGUUGAGCUCCACCUGACACUACAGGGUUUACCGAAGCCUGUAUAAAAUAGAAGAGUUAAAACCACAAUGAGAAGACUCCAUCAUGGCAUGUGUCAAUUAUUUUGUCCCAUCUGAUUGUUUGCUUAACACUUAAACACUGGCUGGUUAUUCAGGCAGCACAUCAGUGAGUGCCUUCCAGCUCUUGCCUAAAAGACAAUAAGCACAUUCUACAUCUUUCAGUCUAGAUUACAAAGAACCUGCUUCACAAAUCAUGACACAAGUAUGCUGUCGUGCCUCAUUUGUUGAUUCACUUUGCAUUUCAUAGUAUAAGUUGGCUGUCAUGUCCAAUUUGUUUAUCAGUUUUGCAUUUAUAGGUAUGCUGUUUAUUUUUCCACAAUAGAACAUGUAAUUCAAAUCAAUUACCGGAUAAGGGCUCCAUCCUUGCAAUGGGAUCAUUCCAGAUGAGAGCAUCAUUGGGGUGUAUGAGCCUGGUAUAUAUGAUCCAGGAACUACAGGUGGUCUCCCCAUUUGCCAAUUUGCAAGAGAAGCAUAUGGAUGAGGGGAAGCUAUAGAUGGAGACUGUAAUGGUGGGUAUAUUCCAGGGGUCAUCGGAACACCACCGAAUUCCGGAUGAUGGAAUUUACAUGUAGUUCCAAAUUUACAUUGCCCAGUUUUCAUGUAGUAGGAGCACUCCUUCUCACCCUGCAUUUUAUUUGUACCAACAUCUCUUUUUCAAAACAGGAAAAACAAGUGUAUGAAUAAGCAAUAUUUUACGAGAGAUUUCACACCAGGCGUAUAGGGAAUCCACUGUUGUUUAACAUAACAGGUAGCACAGCUCCAUCUUGCUUAGGAUGGUGAUAUUUGCAAUUGGUACCAAAUUUGCAAGUCCCAGUCUUCAUGUAAUACUGUAAAACAAGGAAAAAGAAUUAGGACCAACAUUUACAUGUCAUAUGACAUGACAUUAAAAUUGUUAUGUGCUUAACAAUCUCAGCCAAUUAUUAUUUGAGUAUUAUGUUGCAUGCCCUGCCUGCCUGCCAGUUAGCAAGCAAAGAACACAUGGUGUUAAUGCAAGCUUAAGUGAUGGCGGGUGCCUUUUUCGUUGCAUAAAAGAUAAUUGAAUUCAAGCACCAAGCUGUUUAGUUUGAGUACCUCGCAUAUAGGUUGACCCGCCCUUUCUGGAUAAUCCAAUGCUGCUGCAUUCCUUGCACCUCCACCAAACUACAUUUUGAAAAAAUAGCAACUACUUAAUUUUGAUGUUCCAAAAUCAAGCGAAGCUUUACUACCUAUAGACUAGCAUAGGCAAAUAUGGCAUCCCAUGCGCACAGACAAACUAAUCAAUUUCUUAACGAAAACAGAAACAUGGAAAGUAGAUAGGCUAUCAAUAGACAUGAGUUUCAUAAAUCAUUUAGAAAGAUCACAGUUGCAACAGAAGAAUGUAAACUUAUAACAAGAACUACUGAAUAGUUGCUAUAUCUUUUGCAAACCCAACAAGUGAGAAAUUCACAAAAUCAGGAUAGAGGGUAAACUAUCAGCCAAAAGCCAAAUAUGCUAAACAAAGGACUUUGCUAACCAACGGUAAGAAAACAGGCAAGAAAGAUUUUCAUGUCAAUAAUCAUUGAUCCUAGAUGUCUUUGUUGACACAUUUGAUUUAAUCAACCAAAUUAAUGACAACGGAAUGGGAAAAGAAGGAUAUUUUUUAUUAUGUUAUCAGAAUCAACAACUGAUCUUACUUAAAGAAAGAUUGAGCACAGAAGUUUGCCAUCUGCAGAUGCAUGUAGUCUGACCCAGUACAAUACAAUCCAAUUAAGCAAAAUUAGCAAACACAAAACACCCAAAAAAGCAGAAUAAGUAAACAUGAAGCGGCCAAUAAAGCAGGCAACCUACAGCUUUCUGCUUUCAAAGGGAUAUCCAAGUGCUUUAACUUGCAGAGGUGCACCUCCACCGCGAACCCAAACUCUAAUGCUGCUACCCGAUGAGUGCUACCGAUGCGCCGGACAAGAUCUAGGCAGUGGCAUGCCCAAUUUUCAAGCUACAGAAGAACUACAUUUACAUUGGCCGAAUCAAUGUUCCCCAUGGCACGAUCCUCACUUGGGCACUAAGCUGAUCACAUGGUUAAUCCAUCCACCCUAGAGCUGCCUCAUCCACGCACGCGCGCGCGCGCAAGCCGCAACGAACCAGAUCGGGAAGGGAAGCGCGAAUUAGGAGACUCACCUCAGUGCCGCCGCGAUCGCGCGGGUGGUUGUAGCGGCAGCGGUCACCGAAGCCGCACGCGCCGGUGCGGAGGUAGUAGACACAGUCCUCCUCCCCGGGCCGCUCCGGCAGCCUCCCCGCCGCGUCCCCAUCCCCUCCUCCUCCACCUCCACCUCCCCCGCCUCCUCCUCCCAGCCCCAUCCUCCACAUCGGCCCUGCAACCACAACCAACAAAACCAAAACCAAAACGCAGCUGCUCAUCCACCACCCCCGCCACACAGAUCCCGCGCCACCCCCGUACGGACGCCGAGAUCUACAUCCUCGAGCUCCAAACACAAAAAAGCACACAACGAGCACGCACGCACGCACCUUCCAGGCCGGUGUCGGGGCUAGCCCCGCCCUCCCCCUCCCCUCCACCAGCUGCGGCGGCGGCGGCGUGCGGCUGCUCCAUGCCUUCGUCGGCGUCAGCGGCGGCGAUCGGGGCGGGGAGCGAUCGGAGUGGGAGGAGGAGGAGAUCGGGGGUGAGGUUUUGUUUCCUCUUAUUCUCUCUCCUCUCUCUCUCUCUCUUUCUCGCGUUUCCUUUCCUUCCACCACCACUCUGGUGUGGUGUGGCUACUGCUCUUUUCUCUCUCUCUCCUCGUUUUUUUUCCUCCCUUUCCUUGCCUUUUUUUCCGCUGGUUUUUUGCAGCACCUGUCCGGGUUUCACACGGGGUUGGUUUCUUCUGUUUUUCUCUUUUUCUUUCUAAAAAAAAGAAUUCACUUUUUAUUAGUAUAUAUACUACUCUCUCCUUUUAAGGUUAAAAAACGUUUUAACUUUGGUCAAAGUUAAACUAUUUUAAGUUUAACUAAUUUUAUAUACAAAUAUAAUAAUAUUUAUAAUACCUUAAAUUAAUAAUUGAAUAUAUUUUCAUAAUAAAUUUAUCUUAGAUUGAAAAUGUUAUUGUUUUUAUUUUUUAAACUGAGUUAAACUUAAAAUAGUUCAAAACGUCUUAUAACCUGAAAUGGUGAGUAUCUUUUUUUGUUUUUCUUUUAAAUUUAAUGGGAGUUGGGAUGGGGGUGCAAAGGACCACGCCUGAUCAAGGGGUGGAUCUAUCACUCACUUCACAUGUGGGGAUUGAUGGUGAUUUUUUUUUUCCUCUUUCUUCGUUGCAUAAAUGUGGGGGGAUGGAGGCGGUAACGGUUGGAGUUAUAUUAAGCUUCAUUUGCUUUUUGCUAGGAUGUUUUAUGGUAAUUGAGUGUGGGGUGUGGAGGAGGUGAGUUAUGUGAUAAUUACUUCGAGGUAUCCAUAAUCCAUGUCAUGUGUUUGGGACUAUCCUAUUCGCGUGACCGAAAGAGUGAUAUAUGUGUGAUGCAUGUCGCUGGCGUCAUGGAAAUAGUGGACACGAGCAAGCGGGCUGUGUGUUUGUGUGUAGUAGAGGCCAUGUGUUGUUUUUAUGUGCAUUGUUUUUUGCUUAUUCGUGUGACCAAAAAGGUGAUAUAUGUGUAAUGUGUGUCGCUGACGUCACGAAAUGGUGUAAAUGGGCGUGCUUUAUGUAUUUGGGUGUACGAGCGAUGUGUUGUUUUUUUUGUCAUGUCAUCUAUUGUUUCGCGUGUUAUCUCUGGGUCUUGAUUGUGUCCUAAUUAAAUUUUCUUUUUUUAUUGUUAUGUAUUUUCUUCGUAACCAUAAAAGGUUAAUUUGCACGUCAUAAAUAGAUAUAUGUUAUGUUGAGUUUUGGUUAUCUCGUUGCCGCAUGGACCCCGCAUUCCUAUGGUAACCUUUAAUAGCCGUCAUCGGAACUACGACACGGUUGAUCACAUCCUUGUGCUAGUCAUGACGUUACUAGCCUACACGUGGACAAAAGGAUAUAUUAACAGGGACGACACGACUACCGUGUACUCCAUACAUCUCUAAUUCGAUUUAUAUAGUUUAUACUACAUAACUACCCGCGUGUUGUUGUGAGAGUUUAGUAUAAUAGCAAUAAAUACAAAUAAUAUGUGAGAACUAGAUGACAUAAGUUUAUAUAAGUCGAUGUAAUUUACAAUAAUUUAAAAAGUAUAUAGAAUGGUGUUCAAAUGUAAAAGUAAAGUGACGUGGCUUUACGAGAAAAAAAAAAGAGAACGGUAGUUUGGACUAUAGAUUAAUCAUCUAAGAGCUAAAAAUAAUUGUGAUGAUAUGGUUUUAUGAGAUGAGAAAAUGAUGAAGAUAAUUUAGACCACAGAUUAAUUAUUUAAGGGCUAAAACAAUUGAGAUGAUAUGUCUUAAUAAGAGAAGAAAAAAGAGAGAUAAUUUGGACCAUAGAUUAAUCAUCUAAGGGCUAAAAAUAAUUAAUAUGAUAUGGUUUAAUGGGAGAAGAGAGAAAUAUCAUUAACUAAGUGAUAAUGAAAAGAUAUAUUGACAUAUUGUGUGAAUUAUGUGUGAUGAUGAUUUAACAUGCUUGUAUUUUAAAGCUCUGAAAUUUAACAAAUUAUAGAAUUAUAAAUAAUAUAUCAUGCUUGUAUAAUGUUUAAAAUAUAAUAAUUGUUAAUGAAUUAUGAUGUGGUAUUUUGAGUUUUAGAAUUUAGUGGCUUAUAACUUUAUUGUAAAAUAUGAUACUCAAUAAAAAAAUUCGCAAUCCUGCGGUAGGUGUUGUUUUUACAUAUGCGUAGAAUGAGAUGUAAUUUAGCGCUAAAAUUAGUUUAAAAAUUAAUAAUUAUUAAGCACAUGGUACGGCAUGACUCUUUACUGUAGUACAUGGCCCAACCAACCCCAAGUCUCUUAUUCGCUUGUGAUCAAAUCAACUAUACUCACAUGUGGAAAGCACGCUUGUUUUCUAGCACAACGAACUAAGGAAUAAUUAUUUCCCUACGUCUCAACGGCAAAUCUACCACGAUCGAUUCUCUUCCAAGAAAAAUUAACUAGUCUAAUCCACUAGUUUAGCCAUAAACUUUGGUCCUGUUAUUUUCUCAUAAAGAUUAAGAUUUUACCUCGGUUUCCAUUACUACUAAACGGUAUAUUUCGUGCGAAAACUUUCUAUAAAAAAAGUUAUUUUAAAAUAUCAAAUAUAUCUAUUUAUAAUAAUUAAAACUUAAUUAAUAAUAAGUUCAUAACUUUUUCUCGUUUUAACUUUAUCUUUAUCGUCAUGAGUUUCGAACCCAACCAAAAUAUCACCGGCCUGGGGAAGUUGUAUACUCGUAUAGGCCACCUUCGGCAACCGAUUUUCAUUUCCCUUAGAGGAUAUUUUUUUCCAAACUAUGCCAUCUGUGUCGAUUUAUUAAUCAAAAAGAAAAAAAAUCACCGGCCAAGAUUACUACAGCUAAAAUGCCAAUAGGUAGCUUGCACUUUCUGUAUGUCAAUCAAAAGCAUCAUUCUGCUGCAUUGCCCUGAAAGCAUCACACACAAACACAUAUAUACUCCUACUGUUCUUGAUACUGGCAAAAAGUCAACUAAUCUCAUCAUGCCACCACAAAUCCACCAUCCAUACAUGCACUCGCUCACUAGGCCCCGUUCAGAUCUCACCUCAAAUUUUUCACCAUAUCACAUCGAACGUAUAAACACCUACAUAAAAUAUUUAAUAUAGGCUAAAAAAUAACUAAUUACACAGAUUACAAGUAAUUUACGAGACGAAUCUUUUAAGCCUAAUUGCUCCAUAAUUUGAUAAUGUGAUGCUACCGUAAACAUGUGCUAAUAACAGAUUAAUUAGGCUUGAUAAAUUCGUCUUGCUAUUUACUAACGGAAUAUGUAACUAGUUUUUUUUUUAUUAAUGGCCGAACACCCCAUACAGCAUCCUAUAUAAUACCUGAUGUGACACGCUAAAAUUUUACACCGUUGCAUCUAAACCCCUCACUAACCCCCGGCCAGCAUCACCUACUCUACUCUACCUCAACGCACCAACCAACCGCCGAAAAGAAAGAAAGAAAAGAAUCCGUCAAGAAAAGGAGCGUGACGUGAGAAGCAAGGAAGCAAACGGGGUAUGUACCGUUACGAUAGUUUGUGUGUGUGUGUGUGUGAGAGAGAGAGAGAGAGGGGGGGGGAGAGGGAGAGUGAGAUGUGGCGCACGUGCACGGGGGGCGUGGGGGCAUUUUAUUUAUUUGUUUAUUUUGUUGAUGAUUGACACGUAUAGUACCCCAAGUACUCCUACGGGGGCCCGUGGGCGGCCGCAUCCUAUGCCCGAAUUUUCAUCGAGCCAGGCGUGCGGGUUUGUCCUCGUUAACUAAUUCAUUAAUUAAUUACUCCCUCAGUCCCCUUAAAAGGGAUACUUGUACUGAUUGAUCAUUCGUCUUAUUUAAAAAAAAUUAGAAUUAUUUUUUUUUAUUUGUGACUUACUUUAUUAUCUAAUGUACUUUAAGCUUAACUUUUCGGGUUUUAUACUUACACAAAUUUUUAAAAUAAGAUAAGUGAUCAAACAGUGCAAACAAAAUGUCAAAAUCCCUUAUAUUAAGGGAUAGAGGGAGUAGCUUAUUAUCUUAUUUGGUUUCAUGGGCUGAUCCAAACAGGUGGGCUAAUUCAUUAGCCCAUACAAGAGGUACUAAUGGGCUAAUUUUCUAUAGGGACUUAAAAAAAGCAGUUAUCUCUCUCCUAUCUCUCUAAUCUCUCGCCACAUUUUAGUCCUGAAUUAGCCUAUGGUUCCAAACAUGUCACUCUAAGCUAAUGUUUAGCCUACCGAUUCAAGACUAAACAUUAGCUCUCAAAAUUAGUCCUGGGCUAAUCUUCCAAAUAGGGCCAAUUUGGAUGUUGUAUAGAGGAGCGCAUGUGCAUGCCGUUGGUUAGUCGAUACGUUGUUGAGGUGGUGGUAGUACUUUCUCCUCCGUGAAGACUUAGAGCCUGUUUAUGAGAGUUUCGGGUAGUUUGCAGCUUCUCUCGGAAUUAAAAAUUUCUCAAACAGUAUAACUUUUUUUUUAUACUAUGAGAAGUUCUAUUUGUAAAAUUUAGAAAAAUAAACUAGAAACCUGAAGCUGUUUCUUCAUAUUCUCAAAAGCUGAGUACCAACCAGCUGCUUCUCAAAAUCUUAAGCUAAUAAAUCCUUAACAGUGUUUGAGAGAAGGAGAAAGAAAAAUGUUGAUAUAAUACGUAAAACGAGAUGGGUCAUUAGCAUAUCAUUAUUUAAGUAUUAGUUAUUUAAAACUUAAAAAUGGAUUAAUAUUAUUUUUUAAAACAACUUUCCUAUAAUUUAUUUUGGAAAAGUACAAAUUACCUCCCGAACUAUUGCGGUCGACCGAAUUACCCCCUAAAACCCGAAAAUCAGACAACGUUCACCCCCUCGACCCAAUCUAGAACAGUUUUGUCCUACGUGGCGUACCCGUGGCAGUCCAGUUAGAAUUCUAUUUGUAUAAAAGCAGGACUCACCUGUCAUACUCCUCUUCCACUCUUCCUCUCUCUCUCGUGGGUCGGCGGCAGGUGGGGGACACGGAGCGGCGGCGGCAGGGGACACGGAGCGGCGGCGGCGGGGGACGAGGAGGCGGCGGCGGCGGCUGCGGCCACGAUGAGCAGCUGUCGCCUUGGCGCGGGGACGGACGGAGGCAGGGGCGGGCGGUGGGCGGGCGUGGACGGCGGACACGGAGGCAACAUGCACAGUGCGCGGAGACCCUCCUGCGCCAGAGGGAGUUCGCCGCUCCCUCCUCUGUGUCCCGCGUCAACUGCCGCCGCCUCCUCGUACCCCGCCUGCCGCCGACCCGUGAGAGAGAGAAGGAAGAGUGAGAGAGAGAGGAAGAGUGGAAGAGGAGUAUGACAGGUGGGUCCCACAUUUUUUAAAAAAUAAAAUACUGACUGAACUGCCACACGUACACCAUGUAGGACAAAACUGUUCUGGAUUGGAUCGAGGGGGGUAAUUUGCCCGGUAUUAAAAGUUCAGGGUGAACGAUGUCUGGUUUUCGGGUUUAGGAGGGUAAUUCGGUCGACCGUGAUAGUUCGGGGGUAAUUUGUACUUUUUCUUUUUUUAGAAAAAAAGGCACACCGUUUAACAAUUCGGAAACGUAUGCACGGAGAACAGCAGAAAUCUAAUAUGUUUAGCCCCGUUUGAACCUAAAUAAGAUACGUAUUUUACUGAUUUUUUGUUAGAAUAUUUUUUAAACUACUAAAUGCUAAUCUUGCUUGCACUACUAGAAAAAAACAUUUUUUAGGCGGCCAAAAGCAAUUUUUCCAGACGGAGGAGAGGACCGGCUGCAGACCAACGACACGAUUUUCGCAGCCAGGGCAAUGGCCCGCCUGCGAAAAUCCAAUGAAAAAACAAAAAAAAUGGCCUCGUCGCCGCCGCCCUCCCCUGGCCUCCCUCCGGCCGGAUCUGGGAGGGGAGGAGAGGGGAGCCGCUGACGUCGCCGUCCACGCGCGCGCCUCGUCGCAGCCGCCCUCCCCCGGCCUCCCUCUGGCCGGAUCUGGGAGGAGAGGGGAGGGGAGCUGCCAACGUCGUCGUCCACGCCGCCGCCGCCCUCCCCCGGCCUCCCUCCGGCCGGAUCUGGGAGGGGAGGGGAGGGGAGCCGUCGCCGCUGCAACAGGAGCCGCCGACGUCGCCGCCGCAACGGGAGCCGCCGACGUCGCCGCCGCAACGGGAGCCGCCGACGUCGCCGUCCACGCCGCCACCGUGUCUGCGCCACCGGUGGAGGGAUGGAGGGGAGGGGAGGGGAGGGGGAGAGAGCUGAGAAGCCGGUGGAGGGAGAGAGAGAGAGAGUUGAGAAGAUUAGUGUUGAGGGAAAUGAGUGGUGGGGAGGGGGUUGGAGUAGAUAAGUAUCAAAGUUUUUUUUUGGUAGGUACCAUUUUUGCAGGCGGACCACAUAAGGUUCGCCUGCGAAAAUAGGUGGUCCGUUUGCGAAAAUGAUUUUCGCAGGUGCCGCUUAAGUGGUCCGUCUGCGAAAAUCUAUUUUCGCAGGUGGAUAGCGAACUUCACCCCGAUUUAUAUUUUUAUAGGCGAUUAUUUGGUUCCAAGGGUCAUGUUCGCCUGUGAAAAAAAAGACCCCCAUAUCAGGAAAAAUGUUUUUUCUAAGUGUGUUGGCUUCGAUUUGAUCUAAAGAGGCAUGCAUUGGAGUGUUAUUUAGGCCGGUGAGUGAUAUUUGUUUCUUUUGUUACGGUCAUUGAUCUCCGGGGUUUCUUCGGACUUCUUUUUUGUUCGAUUUAGAAAAAUCGAAUGAAUGCUAUAACAAAUUAUAUAUUGGGAUAGAACUAUAGAUUGUGGGAGGACUGUUUCGAGGGGGAGAGGGCUACAUAGAUGGAACGGUCGCGUGGCCAACAGUGAACAGUUAAUGAGACAACGGGUUAGUGGUAGCACCAUCUAAGGGCAAGUACAAAGGUAGAGACCGGUAUGGUCUCUACGUUAAUUAGAGGCUAUUACGUUACAAUAAUUAAGACAAUACUGUCUCUAACAUUAAUGCACUAAAAUACUUUCUUACUAGUGAUCUUUCCUUUAUUAGACUCAAUGCAACGAAAAAUUUCCUAAUAAAUACUAAGAGUCGACUCUAUGCUGUUGUCAUGCGUAGCAACCAUCUUUCUUUUUCCUUCUCCCUCUCUCUUCCACGUCACCAAAUAUGCUUGCAUGAUAAUAAAGAGAGACCGCUAAUAAAGACCAUUGUACAUGCCCUAAGCCUGCAUGGAAGAGUAUAGAGAGUAAGUUUGUCUUCUUUCGAACAUUUCCCUAGCUAACUUCUAUCUUCCGUUUUUACACGUACGUUUCCUAAAUUAUAUUUGAUCCAUUUCCAAAGUUUUUUAAGCUAAUAUUUAAUUAAUUAUACGCUAAUUUAUUGUUCCGUUUUACGUGCUGAAGUGAGGGUUCCAAAUCCGUAGUAGCGAAUGCAGCUUAAUUAAAUGGGGGUGUGCGAUUGGAGUGAGCCCUUUUGAAUUGGAGGAAAAAUAUAGGAAUUUUGGAGGAUUUUAAUCAUAUAGGAAAAUUUUCUAUGAAGCCCUUUGAAACAAAGGAUUAAGUCAUAUCUAAUUCUUUGAAAUUCUUAUGGAAUGGACAAUCCUAUAGAGGUUUUAGAGGAAAUUUAGCAAGAGCUUCAACCUCUUGGUAACUUUCCUUUGAGUCUAUCUCUCUCAUCCAAUUCCUGUGUUUUUCCUGCGGUUCAAUCAAACAGUCAUUUCUGUGUUUUUCCUGCGUUUUGCAAUUCUUUGUUUUACACUUACAUUCCUAUCAAAAUCCUAUGUUUUUUUCAAUCCCGCGAUUCAAAGGGGCCCUAAGUAAGAAGUGGAAGAAUUACCUCUCCCUCCAUUUUAUAUUAUAAGAUUCUCUUUAAUUUAUCUAUCAUAAGUUUAAUUUAUCCACGUUUGUCCAAGUUUUUAUGAAAAUGUAGCAGCAUUUCAACAUAAAAUGAAUAUAUUAAAAAAUAUAUUUAGUGAAAUCAAUUCGGUGUUCUACGUAUUGCAAUUUUUUUAUAUAAAGUUAGUUAAAUUCAAACAAGCUUGACUUUAAACUGAAAAUUUUUUCAAUGUCUAAGUAUCUGGACAACAUAAUUUUUUUCUCAUAAUAUACAGGCAAACCUUCUAGAAGCGUGGUAGUCUUCACAAGUUCACAUUGGGGAAAAAACGAAAUAUGGAUAUAUAUAUGGUAUCUUUUGAAAUAUUAAACUAACAACCGUUAUUAUCUCGCAGAGUACGGCUAAAUAUGGAGUACCGGGCGUGAUGGAAAACGGAAAAAACAUACUGUAUUUUGUCUUAAAGACACGACAGGAGUAUAGGACCAUAGUUUCACUGAAUGCUUAUCGGUUUUGUAAUAUUGAUGUCAAUUUUUGAUGUGACAUUUAUCUAUUCAUCUUAUUAAAAAUAUAAAAUAUUAUUUACUUAUUGUUAACUUAUUUUAUCAUCAAAGAAACUAUAACCUUAACCUAUAUUUUUCAUAUUUAUACUGAAGUUUUAAUAAGACGAGUAAGACGAAUAUUUAAACAAUUAUAUGAAAAAUUAACGGUGUCGUAUAUAAGAAAAACUGCGGUAGUAUCAUUUAUAAAUGUAAAUCCAUUUCUUUUUCCCUUGAUUGCACGCUAGAUCCGGUUCAGACAGAAUUGAUUGGGCAGGUGGCGAGAGGCCGUACUACGCCACAUUGUCCUCCCCCUGGAAAAAAAAGGCAAAAGGACAAGAGGACCAACAGAAAAGGGUGAGAGAGAGAGAGCAGGGCACUGCACGGUGCACAGCCACAGCCUGCACUGCAGUAGUGCAGUUUGCAGCAAAGGCAGCAAAGGGCAUGUUUAGAUCCAUUUGAAAUGGCAAAUGGUAAAUGGUAAAAGUUUUAUUAUUGUAAAAGUAUUAGUUGGUGUUUAGAUGUAUUUUAAAUUUUUGCCAUUCUAGCACUAAAGUGAGAGAGAGAAAGAGAUAGGGAGUGGUCCCAAAGCAUUUUUUUGGCACAAUUUGCUACUAUGGACUAGCAAAUGCCAAAUGUCAAAUUGCCAAGUUUUAAUACUAGUGUUUAGAUCCAAAAUGACAAAAUGUACUUCAAAAUGGCAAAAUUUUUGCUAUUUUGGAGGAUCUAAACAGGGCUAAAGGCUAGGGUAGUACCAGGUACUGGAGCACUGUAGUGUACUUCCUGUAGUAGCCCAAAGGCAAAAUUUGCUACAGGACACGCAAAAAACGUGUAAUUAGCUGGGAGACACCGCGAAAACGUGACACGGCUGAUGGACACUACAAAAUUUGUGUAAUUGGCUAUAGGACACUGGUCGCAUUAUUUUAUUAUUUCCGAGUCAAAACAAGUGAUAUAUUUUUCUGAAUGUCUAGAUUGCCCUUUCUCUUUCCUUCCUUUUCUCCUACGCCGGGAACCUGCGUGAUGGGACGAGGUCGGCGAGGUCACCGGGAACCCGCGCGAUGGGACGAGGUCGGCGCAGGCGCGAGCUUGAUGGCGGCAGCGGGGCGGCAGACGGAGAGGCCCGCCUCGGCGAUGCGCAGCGCAACGGCGAGGCCGGCGGGGCCGCUGACGACGACGGCGAGGUCGACGGGCCUAGAGCAGGCACCCGGGGGGAGGGGUCGCCGACCGCUGCCGCGCGGGUGGGGGGAGGCGUCGGCGAGCUCGGCGCGAGUGGGCGGGCAUGAGCUCGGCGGCAGCGGGGCGGCAGGGCGAGAAGGCGCUCGGUGUUCUCGGCGAAGGCGCUGAGUGUCCGCGGCGAAGACGACGACUACGGCGAGGGCGAGAGCAGCGGCGCAUCGCCGCCAACUCCCUCUCCGGUAGCAGCUCACGGCGCCCACCUCCAUCUCGCCGGACAAGAGGAAGACCGGCCAGCUAGCAGCUAGCAGCAGCCAAGCAUGCGCCGGCGAGCUCGCUCCACCAGCAAGAAGAUGGCUAGCUAGCUCCUUCAAUUCAGACUUGAGAGCUUGAGCAGGCAGCAAUGGCGAGCUCCUUCAGACUUCAGGCUUGAGAGCUUGAGCAGGCAGCCAGGAGGCAGCUGCAGCCGGUCAGGGGCUCGAUCUGGUCUCUGAUUUGCAAGUCGGAGCAUGCACAGGCGUCCUCUUGUGCCGACCUCGCCAACCUCACCCCACUGCGCGCGAUCCCGGCGAAGGAGAAAACCAAGGAAAGAGAAGGGGCAAUCUGGGCAUUUAGAAAAAUAUCUCACCUCUUUUGAUCCGAAAAUAAUAAAAUAAUACGACAAGUGUCCUAUAGCUAAUUACACAAUUUUUGUAGUGUCCGUUAGCCGUAUCACGUUUUCGCGGUGUCUUCCAGCUAAUUACACGUUUUUUGCGUGUCCUGUAGCAAAUUUUGCCUAGCCCAAAUGCCACAGUUUUGGGCCUAAUUGGAAUAUAAUCAAGCUGAGCUGCCAUGGGCCACGGCCACUGCACGCUGAACAGCUCAGCGCUUUAACGUGCCAGGCCAUCUGUUUACAGGGUUGUUUUCUUAAUUAAGUGCCACAUUUUUUUCUAAACAAAGGCAAGAGAUACACAUGACCCAAGAAAAAGUUCUCACUUUAAACACCAUAAUAUUACAAACACUAAAAACACCUCAAAAUCAUUCCCCAAAGCUACAUUAAACACCUAAAAGAAAACCAAAAAAUGCCACAUUUUACCCAAACAUAGUCAAUUGGUUUUUAGUCACAGACUACGCUCAUCACAUUUGACCCUGUUUAGAUGGGACUAAAACUUUUAAGUCCCUAUCACAUCGGAUGUUUAGACACUAAUUAUAAAUAUUAAACGUAGACUAUUAAUAAAAACUCAUACAUAAUCUUAGACUAAUUCGCGAGAUAAAUCUAUUGAGCCUAAUUAAUCCAUGAUUAGCCUAUGUGAUGCUACAGUAAACAUUCUCUAAUUAUGGAUUAAUUAGGCUUAAAAAAUUUGUCUUGCAAAUUAGCUUUCAUUUAUGUAAUUAGUUUUGUAAGUAGUCUAUAUUUAAUACUUUAAAUUAGUGUCUAAAUAUAGAGACUAAAAUUAAGUCCCUGUAUCCAAACACCACCUUAUAUUUUUUCUUCUUACCUAGCCACAGACUCCACUCGCCAUAUUUAAUUUUUCCCCUUACCUUGCCUAAGGUGUGAACAAUAGAUCUUGGCCACACCUUAGCAAAGGGUUGACUAGGUGGUGUUGCAUUUUUUUUAAAACAACAGAUGCUCAUAUAAAUGUGCACGCAAUCACUCUAUCCCUUUGAGCACCUUUGAAGAUUGUAUAAGUAUAUCUUGAGAUUCACGAAGUCACCUAUCCCUAUAAAAACCCGGGUGGAUAGAUUGCACCACGAAGAAACUAACCAAUUAAGUUAUACUCACUUCACGCCAAUAUGUGUUAUAUCUUUCUCUUGAGCAAAUACUGUUACCUUUUUUUGUUUGAUAAUUCAUGUGUUUCCAUGGCCAAAUUUAGGGCUCCUUGGAACGCAUGAAUCUUAUAAGAUUUUGACAGGAAAUAUUUUAGCUCCUCCUAAGUUUUUCCAAAAAAUCAUAUGCUUCAAGGGAAGCCUCAUUGAUCCUCAGUAGAGUCUUAAAAAUCAACACAACGCUAUAUAUCGGGGUAUUUAACUUUUUGCCACUUUGAAAUGUGGCAAUUAAAGAUUUACCACUCGCAAUCUAUGACAUGUGUGCCUAGUGGCAAAUCCUUAAUUAUCACUUGUAAGAGCGGCAAAUAGUUAAUUAUUCCCUAUAUAUAUAAAGUUUGUUUGGUUUAGUAGCCCACCAAAAUAACUCUAGAGUAUUAUAAAUGAAUUUGUUCGAAUUGAUAUUAAUUGGAAGCCAAAAUUUAUAUAAUAGCAAAGAAAGUUCUAGAAUUGUUUCAAACUGAGCAUGUGCAUUACCCAUCAUUUGGCAUCAAACCAAACCAUCGUAUUUACUGCUCAAACUACCAAAACAAUUGGUAUGACACGUUUUAGCAUUGAUCCAAAAUGACCCAUUGUUGCCUAGCAGUUUCAUCCAUAACCUCCAUAACUAACUGGCUGCCAAUCAAAUUUGAUCAAAAUUUAUCAAACAAUUGAAUUUACUUCAUCCAUCCCAUAACCACACAAGGGAUUAAACCUUUUCUUUUUCCAAAAUUAAGGAAGUAGCAAAGUCGUGAUACAAAAGUGAUAGUUAUAGGAAUAUAACUACAAAAGUUAGUAGAUAGGGAAUAAAUAGUAGAAAAGUUAGAAAUUGAGGAAUAAAAUAUCUUAUAUUUUAGGAUAAAAUAGAAGAGUAAAAUAUUUUAUCUCGUAGAACAGAGAGAGUAUGAGCUUAAUUAAUUUUAUCAAGUGGUUUCCAGGUGGUCGAUUUAUAAGGCCGAUAAUGUUCCUCGCUGACUAUACUCUUCAUAUAGCCCCAAGCUAGUUGCAUGAAUCAUAUAAUACUAUAAAGUUGAUAUUUAUUGACUCUUAAAAGUUUAACAUGCAAGUGUACCACAUAAACCCACUAGCAAUUAUUAUCUACAAUAUUUUAAAUAUCAUGUAAACAUAAUAUAUCAUUUACAAUUUUAUUGUAUUUCUAGAACUCAAUAUGCAAGUAAUAUCAAAUCAUUAUAUCUACAUCAUUUUCACAUUAUUUAAACAUAUACAUAUCUCGCAACAAAGUAUACUAAUUCGAAUACUUUGACUACUAAUACAUACUGAUGGCAUCCGUGGAUUACACCGUUGGUUUGUCAAGGAAAAUACUUCUAAUCUUCUAUACAACAUUUUCACUCUUUUACUAUUAAUCUUGAAGUCCAUAAAUGUUGCUUCGAGAGAAAAAAAUAACCCUGAUGUCCAAAUUAAAACAAAUCAGCUCACCUUAUAUCUCCAGACUCGAUCACAAAACUCUGAUGGACGACGCGACAAAGAGAGCUUGGGAAGCAAAGGCAUCGAGUAGUACACAUGGCUGAUCAGUUGGCAUGCUUCUUGUCAAGCCGCGAGAUAUGGAGGGCUUGGUUGACCUAGUUUUUAGAUUCUAACACGCGGCUGUUUCUGAAAAUAUGGAAAAACUCUGAAACCCAGCUUCUCCAGUUUCUGGCUUCUUAAUUUAUUCUUCAGAAUAUGUAACUACAGAUUCUCAAAAGCUAUAGACUGUUUGGGACAGCUUCUAACAGAAGCAGCUUUUGAGAAAAGCUGCAGCUGGGACAAGCUCCCCCGGAAUGGUCUUUUGUAGCGAGAGUGAUGUGGAGUGAAGCAUACAGGGCAAAACAUCCGUGAAACGGACGAACUAGUGUACUGGGUACAGGAGAGAUAAGGUUAGGUUAAGGUUGAAGUUUAUAUGCAAUGCAUCAAUUAACGUCUCGUUCUUUUCUAAUCUAAUUAAGACAAAUUUUAUCUCAGUUUUCGUUUACAUACUUUUUUAAACUGCUAAAUGGUUUAUAAAAAAUACAGAAUAACAACAUCCGCUCCUCAAAUCUUAAAUAGACACCACCACAGAUGCUUGGACUAAAUCCCCCCAUCAUGUGAGAAAGGGCCUAUAGCCUAGUGGUUAUAAGAGUCUCAGUAACACCAUAGGUCUUGGGUUCAACUCCACAUGGGAGCAAAUUUUUCAGGAUUUAACGGCUUUGUGCUUUCAAUGGUAGGCGAUGUACCCGUCGACAGCGAGGCGCCUAUGAUGACUUCGUUAAUCUCCAGGAUGGAUUUGCCGACCCAGUAUUCAAAGAUGCUCAUAGGGGUAGCGUUUGCGUGCGUGCGUUCAUAGGGGUGAGUGCGCGUAUGUUGUGAGUGUCUGCGUUGUAUUGUAUAAUUCUCAAAAAAAAAAUCCCCCCAUCAUGUAGUUCACCGCUAUUUUACUCCAACCUUAUCAAGUGUCGGCCUACGGUGACUUCAUCAAUCUCCAGGAUGAUUUGCUGGCCCAGUCUUCGAAGAUGCUCAUAGGGGUAGGGUUUACGUGCGUACGUUCAUAGGGGUGAGUGCGCGUAUGUUGUGAGUGUCUACGUUGUACUGUGUAAUUCUCCAAAAAAAAAAAUCCCCCCAUCAUGUAGUUCACCGCUAAUUUACUCCUACCUUAUCAAGUGUCGUACCAGUACGAGGUAGUACUACUAUCUCUCUGCAGCUGCUCCUCCUCAAGAGGCGCGCGUGGCAAUUGCAACAGCGGCGACAACAGUCAUGCAUGGAGGAGGUGGUAGACAUAGACGAGCACGACGAGGAGGCGAUCGUCGUGGGCGCCAGCGUGGCGCAGCUGCCUGGACCGUGACGGUUGUGUCGGCUCGCUGUGGUGGCGCCGCGCCUACGACCGCCUCCGUGUCCACCUCCCCAAGCAGUACCGCACGGGUGAUGGUGUCCGCUCCCGCCUCCGCCGCAAGGUCCGGGAGGUGCGGUUCGACGCCGUCGACCUUGCCACCAGUAAGUAACUUAGAGCGGUAUGUGGCGAGGUACCGCCGCCGCCAGUGAGAACGAUGAGCAGGUGGUCCCCAUGACCGGGAUCGAUGGAGACGUUCUCGGGGAAGACGAUGCACACCGCCGACUACAUAUUUUGGUUGUGUGUAUAUAUAUAUAUAUAUAUAUAUAUAUAUAUAUAUAUAUAUAUAUAUAUAUAUAUAUAGAAUGUAUGUAACGUUCUUGUGGUGUUCGGCUUGGAUGUAAUAUGGGGUGUUCAGUGUUCUUGUGAUGUUCGGAUUAAGAUCUGAGCUGAGUGGGCUUGAUCUGAGCGUAGUGGGGCUAAACGUGAUAUGGACCUAAACUAAUAUAGGAAGAGAAUUGGAAAUUGUGGAGCGAUCUGGGAGGAAUUGGAAAAAAAAAAUCGUGCGCACUACACGGGGAGGGAAUCAGACUUUUUUUUGCGUUUUUUUCUUCCCUUUUUACCAUACAAUCAUGCUUCUUUUUUUCGCUCUUUUUUUAAAAAAAUUUAGAUUGACGACAUAAACCUCGGAAACCUUUUUAAUUUUUUAAGUAGUAGAGAUAGAGAUAGAGAUAGAGAUAGUGAUGCACAUAUUAAAAAAAAGAAAAAUAAACCAAAAAUAAACUAGAAAUGAAAAAAGACCAUAUGCAAGGAGGCAACAGAUUGAGAUCCUCUGCAAUCAAAUGCAUGGUGACUUUGGGACCACAUGUUAAUAAUAAAGUCACUUGACUUCUUCAAGUGUAGAGGAUUAUGAUCCGAGGCGCCGCCCCCUCCCUUCCGGAGAUGACCGGGGAGACACCCCCGGAGUGAGGGGGAACGAUUAGCUUUUUCGCAUGAAGGGUGAUUGACUGCUCGUCCAUCAUCCAUGCAAGGGAUAAGAGCAGGUACAAUAGCAGGCUAUUAGCCAGCUAUAAAUAUAUUUUAAUAAGAUAAAAGAUGAAAGAGAAGAGCAGCGGGCUACAGAUCUGUAGCCAGUUGCAGCACGGACUCUAAAACGCAGUGUGUAUAUGACAUGUGGGACCAUAUAUUAAUAGUAUAGUAAGCAACUAUUGUAUAAAUUGGCUAUUAGAUAAAUUGGAGUUUGUAAUGGGCUAAGUUUAAGACGCCGCGGCCGCGCGCAAAUUAAAAGGGGUUAAUUUCGCGGAGGUCGGUAGGAUUAUUCGCGAGUUUGUUGGGGAUCGAGAUAGAUUUCGAUGAAUGAUUGGUUCGAUCUGAGACUCCCGCCAUCAAUCAAAACCCUUAUAAAAUCCCCCCUUCUGUUCAUCCUCCUCCUCAUGUUGGUGGUUUGCAUUGGCGACGGUGGAGAGAGCAGAAGCCACUCCAUAUGCCACCCUCUUCCGCAGCCGCAGCCGCAGCUGCUUCUGCUCGUCGUCUGCUAGCUCCGCCGCCGCCGCCGCCGCCGUUGAUUUUGCCGGCUGCUAGCGAGCUAGCUGCUCACUCUCGUCGAGAGCAAAUGGAUAUCGUUGGCUAUCGUCGUGCCUCGGUGAAUCGAGACGUGAUGAUCAUCAGUGGUAUGAAGUACUCCCUCCAUUUCAAAAUGUUUGGCUGAUCAUUCGUCUUAUUAAAAAAAUUUAAGUAAUUAUUUAUUCUUUUCAUAAAAUUUGAUUUAUUGUUAAAUAUAUUUUCAUGUGCACGUAUAGUUUUACAUAUUUCACAAAUUUUUUUUGAAAGACAAACGGUUAAAGAUGUGCUAAAAAAUUAACGGUGUCGAAUAUUUUGAAACGGAGGUAGUAUGAUAUCGUUCUAAGGGACACAGCGACUUGUUGUUGUUGUUCGUGCUUCAUCGACUCAUCGUCACGGAUCUUAUUGAUUAACGGCUCCGUUGGCACGGUCGUGACUUGUAAGAAAAAAAAAUUUCGAUUCCCUUUCUUUACAUCAGAUUCGUACGAUAAAUUUUAAGAUUUUAUAAGAGUUUAUUUAUAUCUAUUCCAUAUUAAAAGGUGGUCAAAGUGGAAAGUAAAUAAAAAUUGCACUUUACGCAUGAUAAAGUGUACAUUGUUUCACUUUGCACUAAGUUUAACACAUAUUUUUACUUUACACCAGGGUUCACUGAUUUAGGUUUCACUUAACUACAUCAUCAAAUAUAUAGGAUUUUCAUGACAUUUCAUAAAUUUUUUGAAUGAAUCCUCAUCAAACAUAGUCUAAAUUAAAAAGUUUAUUUAAUAAUUUUUAAUCAUAUUUUACAAGAUUUAUGAUACAACACCUAGUGUAAAGUGCAAAGUGAGAGUUAUUUCAAUAUACUCUGGUGUAAAGUGAGUAUAUAUUAAACCUGGUGCAAAGUGAAAUAAGAUACACUUUAGUUGGUGUAAUGUGUAAUUUACUCUUUAUUAUAUUGUCUUCCAAAGUGUGUAAUUUGGAUAAUUUUACCAUAUCAAAUUACUUUAUAUCUUUUCAUAUACGGGAGUGUUAAAUUCGUUUAAUUUGGGAAUUUAUCUUACUUGAGACAUAUUUUUUCGCCCAACAUAAACCUCGUUAAAGACAGUACAAUCUCGUAUGACCGAGACAAAAACUUCGAUACUUCAAACCGGGCGGCCAAUAUAUUCCAAUUUUACCUUGGCAGUAGAAUAGAGCUUAACUAAUUUCAAAAUGGUUUACCAGUGUUUGUCUAGUAAAGGAAACAUUCCGGCACAAUCUAUACUCAUUAAAAGAGAAGGUAUUAGUGAAUUUGUCACCCCACCUCUUGUUAAUCUUAAAACUUAGUUGAACUUUUUAUCAUUAGAAAACAAGCUAAUUACAUAGCUACGUAUAAAACAAGCAAAUUCAUGUUGUGCAAGAGGAUUGAUAACACAUUGCACAACAUGAAUUUUAAUUUAUUUUAGACAGUAUUAUAAUAUAUUUUCUAUUAUCUCUGUAACAAAAUUACAACUAUCCGUUCAUAUUGUAUUAGGCGAUAUUAGUCUCCAGUUAAAUACUACCUCCGUCCCCUAAUACAAGGGACAUUCACUAUUUUCUUAUAACGUUUGACCACCCAUCUUAUUCAAAAAUUUGUGCAAAUAUAAAAAACGAAAAGUUGUGCUUAAAGUACUUUAGAUAAUAAAGUAAGUCACAAAUAAAAUAAAUAAUAAUUUUAAAUUUUUUUAAUAAGAUGAAUGGUCAAACAGAGUAAGUAAAAUGUUAAAAUCUCUUAUAUUAGAGGACGGAGAGAGUAGUUAGUUAUAUUAGAAAAAAAGUAGGUCAUGAACUCAUGAUGGUUUGUUACUUUGUUUGGUCAAUCGUAUAUUGAGAUGGAUUGCUCAGUCUCAGAUUAUCCCUUAAUCUCCAUCAUGUUACUUUGUUAUCACCUUGACGUGUCAGCGUCAUUGUAGUCGUCUAUCGGACAAAUCACCCUCUCUUUUUUCUUCAUCUCUGAUUAGAAAAACAAAUCAUACACUUUGACCAAAUAAGCUUUUGAGACCAUGCGUGAUGUGAAAUCGUUCUAGAAAAUGGUAAUUACGGCACUGAUGGGAACGACCGCACAUUUAUUGUCUUGCACACGAGAAACUCUUAAAUUCCGGUUUGCCCCUGGAAAGUAAGUUCAGUGAUAUCUGCAUCCUUAAAAUAGACGAAAGGGUACACAUCCAAAUGAAUUCAGAUAGACCAAUGAUGGUGAAAGGGGUCUUUAGUUUAUAUGGGAUAAAAUGACGAAAUUGUAAAGUGAGAUGAUUCUCAAAUUUUAUGAAAUAUACAUAUAUUUUUCGAUAUAUUAACGUUUAUCCGCUCAUACAUAGAUGUUGGCGUGUUUUUGUCUCGAUGUAUUAUCGUACAUCUUAGAUCGGAGAAACACUUUCCUUUCUACCAGUUUGUAGAAGACAAACAACCUAUCGCUAGCAUGCGAGAUUUCUCUAGCUUCACCAAUACUUUAUCAAUUGAUUCAAAAUGUGGACGCUUCAUUGCUUUUUAAGUGAUUAAGCCAUGUGGCUUUAUUUCUGCCUCACCCUACUUUUUUGUCAUGUCCAUAAACCACAUAGGCACAGGCCCAACCAAAACAGGUUGUUAGCUAGUCAAGUUUGUAAGAUCAAGAGUGGCCUCCAAGAGGUUCAGUCAAAAUUAGAAAUAGCCAGUUUAUCCAGGGAUGUGAAUGCAAUUCUCACCUGAAUUAAAUUAGACCCCUAAUUUAAUUCUCAAUUAACCAGGUACUGUCCUAAUAAUUUUCUCCCAACAUCCCCAUCGAUCCUGACUUUGUCUGAUCCCCACUGUUUUUUCUUUUCCUUUUGGCCACUCUUUGAUUUCUUUUUUCAAUUCUAUUGCGGGUGGAGACUUUUUGGUUUGGCCGCAAUCCACCACCCCAUUCCUAUCCAUCCUCCUUCAGCUUCUUCUUUCUUCUCCUCCUCCUCCUUGACUGUCCUAACAAAAAAAUCGAUUUUUUGUUCUCCUCUUGAUGGUUGCUGCGACCUUCGAUGUCCCUAUGCGGAAUGAAAUCUCCUGCUGGGGCGGCUAAAAAUCGGAGAUUUUCUGUCUUUUUGAUCCGUCUUUAGUGGAGCUUUUUGAGCCUGAUUUAUGCGAUGGGCUUCUUGGCGUGCUUGUUCCCAUGUCCUCAAGAGGUGAGAGAUGAGGAUGAGGAACCAAGAAGCGGCCAGAGAGUCAGCUCAGGUGGAUUUAAUUAUUCUUUUUGUUGGAAUUCGUUCUUAUGUUCUUGCAAUCUUGCUUAAAAAUUGGAGUAGAAAUGUUUGGUGCUGAUUGGUUAGUGUCACUUGUAGCAGUUCUUGUGGAGCUAAAUAUGCUCUCAGGUAUAAGAGGGGCUUUUCUUUCAUGCAGUGGAAGGAAAAAAGAAUCGAGUUAUUUGUGAUCUAUUGAUCUUAAUGAUUGUGCUGUUGGGUUCGGGAUGAUUCAGGCUGGGGUUGUACAUUAAUUUAAUUUUUUAUUUAGAUACUAGACUUAUUGUAGUCAACCAUCAGGAUUUUUCAAUUGUUUGCUCAUUUCCCCUUUUGGUUUGUGGUGGGAGCAAUUAUUUGUGCAAUUCAUCUGAAGUCACACGAGAGGAUCCAAAAUUAGAAGUUUGUUUGUAAGUUUGGACUUUGGAGUGCGUAAUUUCACCGGGAGAAGAGGAUAGAAAGAACAUGAAUUAGUUUAAGCGGAAUUAAAAUUAUGAAGAAGACGAACACUGUGGUAGAAAAGGAAACAGUCUGGGUGGACUCGAAGAAAAUCGCUAAUUUUCUACUAUUCUUGUUUUCGAUUUCCAACUCUGUUUCUCUUUCAGGAUGUAUCGAGUCUAUCUUCAUUAACAGUGGACGUGUUCUUUUCUUCCCUUGAAAUUUCUCAAUAACAGUGGAAUAUUCAAAGUCGUCAGAGAGUUGCCCACUGAAGACUGAAGGGUCGAUAGAUAUGGUUGGAAUUCGGCGAAAUAAGGGGCAUGGUGAAGCAACGAUCUUCACUUUGCGCGAGCUUGCUGAUGCUACCAACAACUUCAGCACGGAGUGCCUUUUGGGCCGAGGAGGAUUCGGCAGUGUGUAUAAAGCAUUUCUCAAUGAUAGACAGGUUUGUAUUUUCUACUCAAGCACCCAACUCCUUAUGCACUUCGAGUCCCAAGCUAUGCCGCGAGCAUGAAACAAGCUUUUUCAACAACACUGCUUUGAAUACUUUGUGAUAUUGAUAAAAGAAACUGUUCCUUUGGUCAAAAUUGAUGGGAAUGCUUAGACUAUUGAUGUUAACAGAAAGUAUUGUUAUGCUAUAUACCCUUUGUAUAAAUUUCUAAUUUGGUUCCAGCAUUUGCUGCAUCGCAGGUUGUUGCAGUUAAACAGCUUGAUCUAAAUGGGCUUCAGGGAAACAGAGAAUUCCUUGUGGAGGUUCUCAUGCUCAGUCUCUUGCAUCAUCCUAAUUUAGUCAAGUUGUUUGGUUACUGUGUGGAUGGAGAUCAGCGCCUGCUUAUUUAUGAAUAUAUGCCAUUGGGAUCACUAGAAGACCGCCUUCACGGUUAGUAUUUUAUUGGAAAUUGUAUAAUAUCCUCUGUUAGCUCCUAGAAAAACCUGAAAGUUCCCUAAGAAUCUGUAGUUGUGUUAGAAAACAUUUUAUAUUUUUCAUUGUUACAUCAUCGUGAUUUAAAGCACAUCUAACCACUUGAACAUGGUGAAAAGAACUGUCUUCUAGGUGAGAAGAAAUAAAAAAAAAUAAAGAGCUGAUAAUUUGGCACCUCUUUCAGCAUUUUAAAGAUCAGUAGCUGAUAGUACAUAAUAACUUCAAUAUAGAAAGAGUUCACAACUUCUGUACUUUUGGAUUUCCCUGAAUUCGAAGUGUGUUUUCUGCAUUCUAUCUUGGCAAAGAAAACAAUUGGUUUUCUUCAAUGUUCCAUCCAUCAUAUUUUCUAAAUUUGAAUUUCUAUUAUAAUCUGUUGUAUCUGAAGAUGGCUUGAAGUAAUUCCUUUAAAUGAUAAACAUCGCAACCUUUUACCUUCAAAUGGCUAUUACUAUGCCUUGCUAAAACAUCAUUUGACCUUUUUAUUAUGUAUGAUGAAGGUGCUAUUGUUUUUGGCAUUGAAAAUUAUUAUCCAGUAUUUUGGUAGACCUGUCUAGGAUCCAGAUUAGUUUUGUUUCCAUUGUCUUAUGCAUCUGAUCAAAAGCUAAAGCUAGCAUGGAAUGUUCAACUUUAGGCAGAUCUGUCUAGAAUUCAGUGAGGAUUCGAGGGCAUAACUUUUCAUAACCAUCCAUAACCACUUUUUUUUUUUUGGUUUGACGAGAGGACCCUGCAGUGUAUAUUCAAUAAUAAAGAGAUAGAUUCAGCAUGUCGCUGUUUAUCACCCUUCAUGUCCGUUUCUACCAUUAGACCACAUGGUUCAAAAAGAAUUAAAUUGUUCUUUACAUUCCAGUAAGCUACUUAAUUUCCUUAAGUAUUAUUACUGGAUACCCUGUUAAAAAUUUGCUGCCGAUGCUUUUUACAGAUCUCAGACCCGGCCAAGAACCACUAGAUUGGACAACACGGAUGAAGAUUGCUGCUGAUGCAGCUGCUGGUUUGGAGUAUCUGCAUGAUGAGGCCAUUCCAGCAGUUAUUUACCGGGAUAUUAAACCGUCAAACAUUCUUCUUGGCGAAGGGUAUAAUGCAAAGUUGUCUGACUUUGGACUUGCUAAACUUGGUCCUGUUGGUGAUAAGACUCAUGUGACAACUCGUGUCAUGGGGACACAUGGUUAUUGUGCUCCUGAGUACCUCUCGACUGGAAAGCUUACGAUCAAAUCUGACAUUUAUAGUUUUGGUGUGGUCUUUCUUGAGCUAAUUACUGGACGAAGAGCGCUUGACAGCAAUCGGCCACCUGAUGAACAAGACUUGGUUGCAUGGGUAUGUUUCUAUCAAUACCAGAAUGUUACGAAAGGUCACAAUGAUCAUAUUUUCACAAAGAAAAACAAAAUGAGGAUAAAAGAUGUAUUGUUUAAAGGGCAACAUUGAAACAAUAAUGGCGUACUGGAAUUAUAGAAAAUGCUACAAUACAUUUUCUUCUGUGAUUAAUUUUUAUACUACAGCUAUCAUUAACAACAUUGUGCUGUGUGGAUAAGGAUCAAAAAUGGUAUUUGGUCGAAGUUAGUAACAUUUAAUUAACGGUGCAAGGGUGGGGGUACUGGUGCUAUGUACACCUUUUCAAAUAUAUAGUGUGAGCUAUGUUCUGAGAACAAAGUAAAUUAUAUUAUUAAUUAACCUCCCUGUAUGCAUCCUAAUGCCUAUGGAACAGGAAGUAAAUGUCUCAAUCUUGUGUGUCCAGGAGUUUCCUCGUUCUAGGAAAUGAAUCUUAUCUGUUUCUUAACAUACCCCCUCAGUACCAGUUAAAUGACCGUUCAUCUAACUUAUUGGGUGUCCUACUAAAUUGGAUCUGUCCCUUUUUCAUCAUUUGAUCCCUUGAAUACUAUUAUGUUUUUAAUGUUAAAUGUUCUAUUUGUCUGCAGGCUCGUCCAUUGUUCAAAGACCAAAGGAAAUUUCCAAAGAUGGCGGACCCCUCAUUACACGGCCACUUCCCGAAAAGGGGUCUGUUCCAGGCUUUGGCUAUUGCAGCAAUGUGUCUGCAGGAGAAAGCGAAGAACCGCCCUUCCAUUAGGGAGGUUGCUGUUGCUCUCUCUUAUUUAGCAUCACAAACACAUGAAAGUCAGAACACUGCUGCUCGCCAUACCCUGCCUGGCCCUUCUGUACCAAGAGUGCUGGAUAAUCAGAUUAACCAAGACACUUCCUUGCCCAGUCAACAUGGAGUUCAUAUGCCACCGCUUGCCGGGACGGAUCACAUGGUACAAGAAGUCAAGGAGAAUUGCCGGAGCAGUUCGCAUCGACCGGGAAGGGGCAGAGUUACCCCGAACGGCGCUGAUAGAGAGCGUGCGCUUGCAGAGGCAAAUGUAUGGGUCGAGGCUUGGAGACGUCAAGAGAAGACGAGCAAAAUGCGGUAAUCAACGAAAAGCUUCUCGCUGCUAGCUUCAUUUGAUCAUAGGAACAGAAUUGACAAGGUAUGCCACAGAUUGCAUACGUUUUGAAGAAACCGCGGACCGAAUAAUAACUGUUAGAAGACGAUAGCGAAUAAUAAUGAUCAGUGAGUUCUUCUGUGGACCUACACCAGAGUGAGCGCUUGGGAGAUUUCACCGGUGAAGUCUACUAAAUUUACAUCCAGACUUGUUUCACUACAUACAUGGAUUCUUAUUUCUCAUCAUAUAGAUAAUUUAGCUUCUAUAGGUUAAAGUCGCAGGAGGGGAUAUGUACAUGUAAAUAACCCCCUCAUAACAGAAGUGGCAGAUGCAGAGCAUACAUAUAUUUCUUUUCUGUAGUUGGAUGUCUCUUGUGAAUCCAUGUACAUGAGCUGGUACCAUAAGUGCUACAGCUUAUACAUUUUUCAGAUGAUUCUUGGUGUUAACUCUCCCUUGCAAUUCUCUGUUCUCAUCAUGCAGCACAGGUAAAUGUGUGAUAGAUUUGUGAAAAAAAAACAAAGAGAUGAGGAGAGAUGCUGAAUGGUGAUGCUUUGCAUAACAGGCAUGCAGUGUGGAAGGAGAUCUGUUCCUCUGCAGUGUUUGUUUCAGAGCUGUUGCUAUUCAUCCUUGUCAUGCAAAAACUUUCUAUAAACAAAUUCCUUUACAAACUGUUUUAAAUCAAUUUUUUCAACUUUAUAAUAGUCAAUGAAUUUGUUUGUAGCCUCCAAUAAUUAUCACAAAACCAUUUAGCUAUUAAAGUAAAGGAAAAAAAAAGGUAGGUGUAACCAGCAGAGGCUGUGAAUUAGUCAGGGAAUCGCUGUAAAAACACUGGUUUUUCGCAUGUGGAUUGACGACGGAGCAGUGGACGAUUCUUAAUUUGCUUAAUCUGUCAUUACAUUAUACUCCCGCCGUUUCUAAAUACUACCUCUAUAUUUUAAUGACGCCGUUGACUUUUUGUCCAACGUUUGACCGUUCGUCUUAUUUAAAAAAUUUAUGUAAUUAUCAUUUAUUUUAUUGUGACUUGAUUCGUUAUUAAAUAUUCUUUAAGCACGACAUAAAUAUUUUCAUAUUUGCACAAAAAUUUUAAAUAAAACGAAUGGUCAAACGUUGGUUGAAAAGUCAAUGGCAUCAUACAUUAAAAUACGGAGGGAGUAUUUGACGCCGUUGACUUUUUUAAAUAUGUUUAACCGUUUGUCUUAUUCAAAAAAUUUAAGUAAUUAUUAAUUAUUUUCCUAUCAUUUGAUUUAUUGUUAAAUAUACUUAUAUGCAUACAUAUAGUUUUACAUAUUUUAUAAAAAAAUUUAAAUAAGAUGAGCAGUCAAACAUGUGUUAAAAAGUUAAUGGUAUCAAAUAUUUAGAAAUGGAGGUAGUGUUAAACUACACGAAUUAAUCAAAUUUUGCAAAAUUUAUGUGGCAUGGUUCAAAUUUUCCCAUUAAUUAAUUUAAUCAAUUGCUCGCUCGUGAAAACGAUGUGGAAAUCUGUGGUCGGACUUAGCUAUGAAACUUCUCCUUUUCUUUUGAACGAAAACUUGCUAUAAAUUCAUCAAAUGACAAAACCUUUUUCACCAAACGAUCAUUGUAGAGCUAGCAGCUCUAUGGAACACAUCAAAAUGCAUUAUACCGUUAUGCACCAAGAGAAAACCGCUCUUAAAAAAUAACACAUGAACCGUGUAUUACUUCUAGGAGAUCACACAAACAACUGUUAUUCAAUAAUACUCCAUCCAUCCCAAAUUAUAAAAGAUUUCGGAUAAAUGUGACAUAUUCUAAUACUACGGAUAUAGAUAUAAAAUUUAUCCAGAUUCACAGUAGAUGUGUCACAUUCAUUUAAAAUUGUUUAUAUUUUGGUACAGAAGGAGAAGUGGUUUAUGUUGGUGUUGAUGGAAAAAAUCAAAUUUUAUCGUUAACAGUUGGGUCACAUAAACCACUAUUAUUCAAAGAAAUCAAUACAAAGUAACUAACCCAUAAGCCUGUAAGAUGCAAUGAAUCUCAAAUAAAUAUCCGUUGUUACUAUAUACAAUAUAUAUUGAUACAAAUUACACAACAAUUCUACAGAGAGACCACCGUUGCCACUUGCCACCAACAACUCAACUUUUUUUUUUACCAAAAAAAAAAAGUUAUGAACUGCAAACUCCUCCAAGACAUGCCCUGAUCAAACAGAAAAUCCUUCACAUAUAUUUCUACACAAGAACACGUUAAUUAAUUACUCCCGAAAACAUGAAGAAGAAGAAAUCACGAGCUAGCUUCAUCGCACGGACAAAAGAAAAAGAAAAAAAAAGGAGAAAAAAAAAACACAAAUUAAAAGCUUAGAAAUCAAGCUCGACCUGCACCUGCAGUGUUGUUCAUGGUUUCACUCGCCGGCCGGUCAGUCAGUACACGCAGAAGCCGCGGCGGCGCGGCGGCGGCGCGCCGCCGCCGGCGAGCAGCAUGAACAUGAUGACGACGAUGGCGACGAGGAGGAUGCCAUUGAAGAGGUUCUCGUCGAUGACGAGAAGGCACACCUUCCCCAUGAAGCCCAAGCUGAUAAUUUGCUAAUGAUCUCCUCCGAUUUGAUUAAUUACUUCGAUGGCGAAGAAGCAGAUCGAAUGCUAAUAAUGAUCUCUCUCUACACUAAUCAUCUUACUCUAUUUAUAUCGACUUAUCGAGGUGUGUGUGAGAGAAUGGAUGCUUUCUGUCUCUCUUUCUGGGUCAACUUCCAGAACCAAGUCCAGUUAGUUUUAACUAAAUUGGUAAUCUCGAUUAGCAAUAAAAUUAUGUGAUUAGCAAAAGUAAAACACGUUUUUUGCAGUUAGGUGAUGCGUGGUUAGUGUAUUUUUAAUAUUUUAUGGUGUGUGAUCACAUAGUGGUUGUGGUCUAACCGUGUGACGAAAUGGUACGGCGUUUUGGUUGGUUUUUGCUCGAGUUUGGUGGUAUUUCAAUUCCGGGCUGAAUUGUGGGAACUGUUCAUUGACAUAUCAAGCCUAGAUAGUGGGAAGAUUUCAUUGGAGAUUAUAUGUAGUUGGUAGUUUAUACUUUUGAAAGAGUUUUUUUUUUUUUUAGUGUGUGUAUGGACAAAAUCACUCUUGAUAGAGGCCAGUUCACCGAACAUAACAAGUACAAGUAUAUAGUCAUCAAGAAAAAAAAGUUGAUUGGUGUUUGAUUCGAUACAAAUCUAAACAUACUUCCAGCUGUUUUUUUUAAAAAAAAAAUUUUGGAGAGGAAAUCUUUCCAGCUGUUUAUUAAAUUUAGAGAAAUGGAGAAAAUAAAUUUCUUGUGGAUCUUUCCACUUGUAACCUGUCAGUCUCAUGGACCACACGUCUCUUUUAUUUAUUUACACCUGUCUAAAUAACUGUUCUUUUGUAUUCAUGGAUCAUAUGAAAUCACCAAGAAAAAUCACUCCCCUAGCAAUUUGACAAGGACGUAGCUAAUUAAUUAUCAUGUAUUAUUAUGGAGAAAAAGGUUGGUGUGGUACGAUUAUUAUUAUCACAAAUUUCAUAGCACAUAGGCAAGUUGCAACAACGGCUUGAAGAAAUUAAAUCCGGUGGCAUGUGCGUAUACAAUCCUCAUUAUGUCACACCGUUGACAUCAUAAAAAAUGUAAAAAAGAAAAAUCCUCUAAAAAAAGAUGACAUGAGAUCGAGUUGUAAUAUUACAAAAAUAUAUGGUGCAAAGCACGCUUGAACAAACAUAUACCCUGCGUUUGAUCUUGAUCGAUCCCUACCAUAGCUAAUUAAUCGUGAUUAACAAACUAAUUUAAUGGACACGCGUGAUCCAACACAAGCUUGCUGAUAUAAUACAAUAAGAAUCUGUGGUUAAUGGACGAUUAGUCAAGUGAUCAGUCCAAAUUAAGGCUCAACGUUUGUAUACCAAAUACACGGCCUGGACUUCACUGGCUUAAUUUAUGAGUCAAAUUGUGGACGAAAUUUCACUAGGCACGGUUACUGAACUACCGUGGACAAAGAAGCUCUCCCUAGAUUUUAUUCAUCUUUCUCAAUGGCCAUUUGUCACUCCGGUUCAAACUAAAUCAACUAAAAAUACAAAUAUUUUCUACUACAAGUCGCUCUCAGUUGAUUCUAUUCAACUCUUGUAACCACAGGGGCAGGUCAUUCUCAAGGACCAGUUUUGUGAAGAAAAAAAAUCAGUCGAAUUGUGGAAACAAACAAAUGUGUGGAAGAUGCAGUGCAAAUGAGGGAGAAAAGACCUGCCUAUGUCAAAAAGUUAUAUUCUGGGACGGAGACGAGAUCAACUCAACUGUGCACUCGUCAUCUUUGAUCUUGAGAUACACAUAUAUAAUAAAGACCUGGAAGAUGCAUUAUAUGGUCAGAUUUCAGAGUCGCCGUCUUCUGCUGCUCCACACACCACACACCACACGUAUGCAGAACGGCAAAAAGAGGUGGACAGGGUUCAAACAUGAAUGCCAAGUUCUUGUCUGAUCUUUGUUGUCUUAACUUUGUUAUUAGUACUAACUUUUACACAAACGUGAUAAGGGAGAUGAGGGGAAAAAUGCAUUAGCUAUGUUCUUAGAACAUUAUUAUUGUCGUGUUAUAGAAAGAGGAAUCAUGUACGUCACGGUCACAUAGCAUAUUGUUCAAUUCCAGGUAAAUAAUCAUCUGAAAAAAAAUGGUAUGAUCAAAACUCAGAAGAGAAAAGGUUGGCCAGUGAUGAUUAUAUAAUCACCGUAGAUUUUCCUAACCGAGAACACUGGAAUUAUCUAGUAAAAGGGACCAUUAGACAGCGGCAGCUAGGUUGAUAGCACCAUGCUCCAAUAUAGUCCUGUUGGUUCACAGAUUCACAGAGCUUUACAGGCAUUCAUAACAAUAAAUUUCCACCCCGUUGCUUGGUAAAGUAAAAGGGAGUGUACAAAUAUACAUGAUUUUAAGGGCUAUGAAACUCUACAGCAUUACAUGGUGAGAAACUGAAAACCGAUGAAACGCCAACCAAAAUUGGCACAGGGGAAAUACAGGAAGGGUUUUGGCCACAAGCUGCCUCUCCAGAUUUGGCCAGAAAUGGUAUACUGAAAGAACAGCAGCUCCACGUUGCAUAUAGAUAAAUGAUCACACAGCCAAUCGGAUGGUUCAUCAGUCAUCACUUCGGAUGGUGAGAACCCAUGAUCAUAGCUUGGUGCAAGAAACGGUGAAGAAAUACAAGGCUGAGGCCCUCUCUUAUGAUCCCUAUGAACAUCACUUGCACAAUGCCAACCAAGCCAGCACCUGACCAAACUUCGGCUCAACCACAGCGAGGUAAACGCUGCAGUUCAGCGCCCAAAUAUGAGGCGGCGUCAGCAAGGCAGCCAUCAUGUGAACCCUUGAAUGCCGACACGAGUGCUUCUACUCGCAUCAAGGCUGACAAAGAUAUCGACACGAUCAUUCCUUGCGCUAGAUAUUGCCUGCAGGAGAAGGCCAGGCAAUACAGCAGGCGAGUCAGCCUUAGGCAGGUGCCAUGCUUCAGCAGGUCCAGAACAACGCUCAGUUUAGGAAGAUUGGUCAGCAAGCCCACCGUAGCCUCCCGAGGUGCUGCUUUGAGUAACAGCACCAAGCAGUCUGAUGCCAAAUCGCUUAUAUGUGGAUCUGAACUUCCAACUAGGUCGAGGAAAAUGCCCAUGUUGCCACCAAAGUCGCAUAUAUCCAUGACGCAUGAUUGUUGAUCGACAGCAAUGCUCAUGCUGAAGGCACUAUCAACAAGGAGUGCGGGCUCUUUGGAAAGGGCCACAAUUUUGUCACUGCUGAUGCCCCGGAUAAUGAAUGCUCUGCAAAGUUCCAAGGUUGGUUCUAGAAAAUCAUCCAUAUCUUUUGCAGUCACAAACUCCAGCAGGUUCCCUAUUCUUCUGACAACUUGAAGCUGAGAAAGAAUGUCGGUGUCCAUAUCGGGAGCAGAUGCCAAUGCAAAGCAAAGCUUGACAUUACUUACAUUUGCAUUAGACAAAUCUCCUAGCAAAAAUUCAAAGCACCGGGAUACUGUUGCUUCAUUGAGAAUAUCAGAAACCUUAACAUAAUCAUGCUCCAUCAGCAUUACCAGAAGUUUCUGGGCAUAUAUAGGUAUUGGAUCUUCAUCCUCUGCAAAUGAUGGAUACAUGGGGAGAAAAUACUUCUGAGAGAUCUUUUCCAGGUCAGAUACUGUUUGCUCAUUAGACGUCAAUGAAGAGUCACUGAAGAUCACAAUCAUCACAUCGGACAGUAUCUUUAAACAUAGGAAUCUGGCAUCACCAUCUUUAUUGCCCUUGUACAAGACGGAUAAGCUUGGAAGGAUUCGACUUGUGAAUAUUUUGUGUUCAUUAAGUAUAACAGAAGGCUCCUCCGUGGCUGCCUCAAGAACCCUCAAUAGUGUCAUUUGAAAAUCAUCCCGAGCCUGGAUGUAUAAGACACGUAAAUAAUCAGAUAAGGUCAAGAUAUGUUAAAAAAUACAGUAGUAAUGCAAAACUGUUAAGGCAAGAGCCACAGCGCAGCAUCAAAACAAAGGAUGGGAUUGAUUUGACACUUAAGUGCAGUUACAAAAUGAAUGUGGUCGUCAUGUUUUUUCAUCAUGGCAUAACCGUGCGUGAAGUUCUUAGAUCAUACCUGAAAUGGUGCUUCCAAAAUUUUCAUAAGAUUUGCCAACUGAAGCAAUACAUGGCUCGUCACAACUCUGUGAUUGAAUGAAACACUCCCAAGAAGAUGAAGGAUAACAGGAAACAAAUGAAUUAUGCUCUUUGGAUGAGCUCGUCCAGUUAAAGCAGUAGCAGCUCCAUGACGCUUGCCUCCCAUAACCUGUUGUAUAUCACUAGAGACAGUGUCAAGGAUGCCUGGGACCAAUGAAGCAACCAACUGCACAAAUGCUUCUGUGCAUUGAUGAAUGAAGCCUUCCUUCUCCUUUCCCAAUCUAUCAACUGCUGAUAGUAGUUUUGCAUUGCAAAAGAAAUGAGGAAGCCAUCUUCGACUGUUCUUGCAAAGAAGAGCAACAAAUAGAAGGGUUUUGCCACGCAGAACAUCAGUUCCCUGUUCAAUAAGAGAGAUGAGUCCAGGAACCAACUGCUUCUCUUCUGUUAACGACUGAAUGUAGCGGUUCAUGGUUGGUAUGAUUUGGCUGUUAACUAGUGCUGAAUUCAGAAGAUUCAAACUGAUCUGCUGCUCACGUGAAUUGCCUUUAAUGAGUGUGCAUGCGAUAUCCUUGAAGGCCAGCCUCUCCAGUAUUAAAUGAAUACAAGAUGAGCUGAAGCGAGCUAAGCGUGCCAAACAAGAUCCUGCAAUAAGUCUUGUAUUCUCCUGCUUACCAGUUGCUCUAUAGAUGUAGCACAGGUGACUGAUUACAUCUUGGGAAGCGAAACGUGAAGUCCAAUCUGUCCCUUGGCUACAGAUGUUAUCAAUGGUUCGUAAAGCAUAAAGCUGGGCUAGAUCAUCUUCACCUUUACGCAAGAUUGAUGACACCAGCGCAAUUACAGAACUUGGAACCUGCACAACUUGCAAAGUAAAAUCAUUAAUAAAACACAAUAAUUAAUGUCAUAGUUGUGAAUCAAGAUAAAAGGAUUCCUCACAUGUAUGUAUAUAUAUAUGAUAUAUAUACUACUUGACCAGUAAGAUAUGAAAGUAAAGGUCUCAUUAAUUCAUUAACACUAUUACAUAGCUGACCUAUAUAUGGUUCCACAAAUACAAGAAUAUAGUCAUUAAAAGGAAAGCAGGUUAAAACACUUGAAAGAAAAUUGGUAUGGAAUUAUGUCCCUUAAGUUCAUCAGGCCCUUUGGAGAGGCAAAGUUCAACCUAUAGGUGAGAGCAAGGUUAUCAAGUUGCAGAAACAGAAAUUGACAAAGAGAUCCACCCUCAAUUCAUGGACAUACAAUCACUAAAACUAACGGAUAGAUGUAAUUUGAAUCACUCCUGAUUAGGCUAGCCAUUGAACAGGAUUGGUAUGUGGUUUUCUGUAAAAUCAUACAGGUUUGACUAACAAUAAACAUGUGCAUAGACACAAAAUCAAAGAAAAGAGCAUGUAUAUAAACAUAAUUUAGUCCAUAUAUUAUAGUAAUAGUUAUGAAGGUGGGCAGUGUGAUUAUGUGGUUAUGUGAAAAAUUCAAUAAUGCAGUAUAUACUUUCAACUGAAAGAAGCUUCCACUUCUUUUUUUUUCUAAAACGCAGAACUAAGCGUCAUUCCAUUGAGAAGAGAGAAAUAUUUACAAAGAAAGGGUCAAAUGACCCUUCCCACGAAGAACACUUCCCAACAAGCGCCACACAUAAGAGGCCAAAAGGAGCUUCCACUUCAUAACAUAAACAGUGAGCAAGGCACCUACGUUCCAUGCAGGAAUCAGAUUGAAUCAGUAAAAGCUCUUAGAUAUUUCUAGCACCAGUAACUUGCCAUUGAUCUUCUAACUGCAGGUUACUAUAUAAGAUAGCCUAAGCAUAUGACCCAACAACAUGCAGAUAAAUUACUAAGCAUGCAGACAUAACAUACUCAUCAUUUUGAGUUUCUGACCUGCCAAGAAGCUGUGGCCCUGUUAUCCUUCAAAGGGGAUUCUUGGGCAUUGAUUUCUUUGGUAUCUUGAUCAGAUUGAGUAGAAAUGUAGAACAGUAAUUCUCCUAGUGUUGCCAUACAGAAUCGCCUGAGUUUAUCAUGCUUGUCCCUUAGACCAUCUGAUAGUGCAUUAAAAAUCCCUGAACUUGCCAGCUCUAUAUCAAGGAUAGUGGAGUAGCGUAUCAACAAUCCCAUAAGUGAAGCAAUUUGGACACGCAAUACUGAAGUUUUUGACAGACGGAGCAUUUUUAUAAGCAACAGCAUAAUUGGACCAUUUGUGAUUAUAUUUGCAGCAUCAGAAUUGAUGCUUAACAUCUCCAGGUAUUUGAUGAUAUUCUGUUUCUCUGAAACCUGAAAAGUACCACUUAAACUCUGAAGUAUCUGACUAUUGAAUGCAUUCAUUUGUUCCCGUGGCAACUUAAUAUAAUCAACAGCAGGAAGAGCUUCAAACGGAAGCAUAGGGACUGUCUCUACAGCUUUAUCUCCUUUCCUACCAGGCAUAACUGGUUUAACAGCAAGAUCUGUUGGAUGCCAGAAUGCUGCAGAGAUGUCAGAUGGCUCGGAACCAGCUGCGGCACCUGAAGUUGUCUUUGCUCGUUGUGCUUUCCUCAUACAAAUACUUGGUGGAGUGGCCACCACAUCAAGAUUUUCUGAACAAUUAUGUUCAGUUUUUAUCAUGGUUUCAGCCUUAACUGGGCCUUCAUCUGUGAGCAUAUCCAUCUGAUUACUCAUGCAGUUCUCUUCAUUACCAUCAGUGCCUUGAGUGGAAAGUUUUUCAUCUUCUGCGGAUCCAGGAUUGUCUGAUCCAUCAUUGUCAUCAGGUGCAUCACCUUCUGGAUUUUCACCAAAAUCAAGUUCCAUAUCAUUGUUUUCAAUCUUAACUUCUGUAUCAUUCUCAGAAGCUUCUGUAGGGUGUCGCCUGUAGUUCUCCUUGUCUUUUUCUCUCUGCAAAUUCCUCUUAGCUACACGAGACAUCCUGAGGAUAUUUACACCCUUCAAUCCAUCAGCCUUACAGGAAGGUUUUGCAUUGUUUUUCUUACCACUUAGCAUAUUCUUAACAGGGGUGAACACCUUAGCAGAAUUUUCGUCCUUCUUCCGUAGGCCAUCACGGGGCUUGGGUGGUGUGGACUGUCUAGAAGGUUUAUCACCAUUUCUCUCAACUAAAUAUGGUGUAGCAGAAAGGUCGACCAUGUUGUCAAAGGCAGGCUGAGGAGGUAAAGGAAUAAUUGACAUUCUGCUCCUCCAAAAGUGAUGCUCGCAUAGUUCAGACCACUGUAAUCUUUCAGCAGGAUCUUUCAUGAGUAAGCAAUUGAUCAGAUUUUGAAAGGAUCUUGAGGGGUUAUCAGGCAAAGGUGGUGUAGGAUCUGAAAUUAUAGAUUUGACUAGCUGGGUAAAUUCAUUAGCCACAAAAGGGGGCCUUCCUGAAUAGCAUUCAUACAAUACACAACCAAGUGCCCAGAAAUCUGAAGCAUAUGAAUGCACUCCUCCCUCUUGGAACAACUCAGGAGCCAUAUAACAUGGAGUCCCCUUCAAAGGUUGCGGCACCUACACGAGGAGAAAUUAAGCUGGGAAAAUAAUCAAAUGUAGAUGGAAACACAAGGAAAUGAAAUGAGAUACAAAAGGAAAAUGGAAGCUCACAUCUCCAGGAUUGGUCUUCUCUAUGUCUUUCAAACGCCUUGCUAAUCCAAAAUCGCACAGCUAGAAAAUUAAAGAAAUAUAUAUCGUUAGUUACAAGCUAUUGCCUCACUGUAUGAAUUAUUUGAUCCAGUAAGUACCUUCAUGCACCCAGAUUCAUCAAGUAAAACAUUUGAUGGUUUCAGAUCACAAUAUAUAAUUCCUUGUGAAUGCAAGAACCUAAAGUCCAAAUUGUUUUGACAAAUAAGAUUUCACACAUCAUACAGUAGAAAUAAUGAAACAAGGAAAGAAACUUUACUGAAGAGCUUUCACAAGAUCAUAAGCCAAGUCAUGUAUAGAAUUUUCAGGCAGCUUCUUAUCCUGCAGGUCAUUGAAGAAAUGUAAAAUGUUCAUAUGCAAAUAUACUAACACAAAAUACUAAAAAUUUGGGUACAUAUUAGAGCAUACUUAAAUGUGACAUGUACAUAAAUAGACAGCCAAAGCAAAAGUUUUUAACCUGUCAGUUUGACAAUGAAUUUUCCUUCCAUUCUACUACCUCCAUCCCAAAAUAUAAGAAGUUUUAGGGUUAAGCCCGUAUGAAGAUUGAGGGGGAGGGGAGGCUGUGAUUGGUUGAGAAAAGAAAGUAAAUAGAGAAAUUAAAUGGGGGAAGGUUGUGAUUGGUUAAGAAGAGAAUGUAGGUGAAGAAGUUGUUAUAUUUUGGGAUGGAAGGAGUACCAGCUAUAAGCUAAAAAAAAUGAACAUGUUUUUUUAAAAAAUUUCUUAAGGAGCAAACAAAAGACAUCUCAGCAUGCACAGAGAGAGAGAGAGAGAGAAAUAUUUGUAAAUGAAGCAAAUGCAAAUCAAAUACAAACGUGUGCUAUUGUACAAGUAAACAGCUGACAGCGUGCUUUGAACUAGAAAAUGGUAUGCUGCUUAAACUGACAAGCGAGAUACCUGCUCAAGCAAGCCCUUUAGGUCUCCACCAACGCAGUACUCCAGUAUUAACCAAAAAUGAGCUGAGGUUUCGUACCUGGUACAACAGGUACAGGCAUAAGUAUGGUUUGUAGUACAAUGUUAAGGGAACAAUAACGAUGAUUGCAACCAAACUGCCAGACUAUACUUGUCAUUAUUGUUCUAAAAAGUGAACUGCUUGCCAUUAUUGCACCACAACACUAGUCCCCUAGAAACGUACCAUGAGUAAAAUUUCAGAACAUUCGGAUGAUCUAAGGAAUGAAGCAUUCGGACCUGCAAAGAAAAGUUCAGAAGUACUAUUAGUGGAGUAAGCAAACAUCCUCAUUCCUCAGGCUCAUUAACUAUUUUUCUUACCAUGCUAGCUAAAAGAUUAUUUUUUAAUUGAAGACUAGAACAUGUGCUCAUCUUCUAUCCAGAAAAUAUUAUCUAAACUACUGAUCUUCACCCUUAAGCGCUUUGCUCAAAGAGAAGGUACAUUCCUGACCAAAUAACAUAACAUUUGACAGCACACCAAAUGUAACUUAUGUUGCCUCAUUUCAUCUUCUCUAGAAAUGGCUAUAAGAAAUAGAUUGUUUCGCACGAUUAUCAGGAAAUCAAAAUCUAAACAGCAUCCCAGCUUAAGCAUGUAAAGUGCUUUUUCCCAGGAAAUAAAUAGCGAUCCACUAGUACAUCAAGAUACUAUAUAACGAACAAUGUAACAUUCUGCCCAUUUAAACAACAUCAGCUUACAAGGAAACUCUGCACUCUGCAUGCCCAGAAAACAGCGGUUAACGAAAGCCACGGUAUCCACACAGUCUAAAACAGUCACUUAAACUAUCAAAUCAAUCUUGGAUAUCAUAUCACGAUUUGCUUCCGGGAAAUCCAUAGGCACCCGCAGAUCAAAUCACUCCAAGGACCAUUUCACGGACCAAAUUAACCAGGCCCGCCAGGAGCCAAGCCCUCCGAUUCAAAAUAUCCCCACCCAAAAUCGCGGCGGCGCAUGCCUACCAGCUACUACUGAUGAAAGAGCAGGGAGACGACGGCGCCGCGCUCACCUCAUUGAGGACCUUGGACCGCUGCGACUUGUCGACGCUCUUGACGGCGAAGUACUCGAUGCUCUUCUUCUUCCGCCCCUUGUACACCGUCUUCCGGACCACCGCACCCAAAAAAAAAAAAACACCAAAAACAAAUCAGAAAUCUCACCCAUCUGCACCCAAUCCGAGCGGAUCCGGGGGCGCGGGGAACACAGGGAAGACGAGGAGAGGAAGGCGGAGAGGGGGGUUACCGAGUGCUUGCCGCGGCCGAUGGCCUCGUAGACGUGGAAGUUGUUCAUGGCGGAGCACCACCACCACCAGCAGCAGCUUCUCCUCCUCCUCUUCUCGUCGACUUCUCGUCGACCUCUCGUCGACGGCGACGGCUAGGGUUUGCGAUUUGAGGCGGAGGAAUGGGGGGGGAGAGAGAGAGAGAGAGAGAGAGCGGGAUUUCGAUUUGAGAUUGGCGCUCGCUCGAUCGGCUAGUUUUGGAGUUUUGGGGCGUUCCGUUUCGGCGUAGUUUUUUCAAACUUUUUUUUUUUCGUCUUCGGGUUGUGUUUUUUUUUCGGAUGGGUCCUUCGCUUUUCUCCAUAUUAAUACGAAGUCCCCGUCUUGCGACUCGGUGCCUCGGUGGGUGCAACGGCUACAAGAUUUCUUUGCCUUUUUUGAACGCAACAGCGAUGGAACCAUCUACCAAGGAAGUGUUUUUUUAGCAAAAGAAUAGUCCCAUAUGGUUAUGAUUAUGUGACAAUUAUGUGGAUUUGGUCUAAACCUAAUGUGACUGAUGUACCCAUUUUUAGUGUUUUAAGAUAAAAUUUAAGCUCUCUUGGAUAGAUUAGUUUUUUUACUCCCUAUUUUCAGCUUAUUAAACCAAAAACAAAUUCUAAAGGAGAGAUUAUACGUAAUCUCUUGUUGAUACCUGUUUGGAUUAAUGUCAAAAUGUGCCCAUAUGUAGCUUAUAAAUAGUAAAUGUGUUAGUUUGAUUUGAAGCCAAAUGAUUGGUAAUGCCCAUGCUUAAAUUGGCAAUAAUUCUAGAACUCUAUUCACAGUAAUAUAUAUAUGGGUUAAUUAGAUACAUGCCAUGAAAAUUUUGCCGGUUUUGAAAUAUGCCAUUACUAUUUACGUAUUUGGAAUGAUGCCAUUGCUAUUUGUUGUAAUCUUAGUGGUGCCGCUAAGAUACGUAUUUUGCAUGUAUUGGACGAAAAUGCCCUCAUCUUCUACCUCUCUCCCUCUUCUCUCAUCUUCUAGCUCUUUCCCCGCUGCUUCUACUCUGGCGCCGUCACCGCCGCUGUUGCUGUCGCUGCCGCUCGCCGCUCCGCCGCCGCCGCUCGCUCCACCGCUGCUGCUCGCUGUUGCUGCCGCUCCGCCACCGCUCGCGCCGCUCGCUGCUGCCGUCGGUCGCUUCGCCGCCGCCGCUCACGCCACUUCGCCGCCGCCGCUCGCCGCACGCUGCUGCCGCUCACUGCGCCGCCGCUCGCUCCGCCGCUGCUGCUCGCUGUUGCCGCCGCUCCGCCACCGCCGCCGCAGCUCGCGCCGCUCGCCGCCGCCGCCGGUCGCUUCGCCGCCGCCGCUCGCGCCACUUCGCCGCCGCCGCUCGCUCCACCGCCGCCGCUCGCGCCGCUCGCCGUUGCCGCCGAUUGCUCCGCUCGUUGUUGCCGCCGCUCCGCCGCCGCGCCGCUCGCUCCACCGCUGCAGCCGCUUGCUCCGCUCGCUGCUGCCGCCGCUCCGCCGCCACCAGUUCUCUGAGCUGUGGAAGAAAGGAGGGGGAGAAAAAGAAGGAAAGAAGGGUAAUUUGGUCCAAAUUUUUUCAUAAAUGGUUGGUAGUGGCAUAUCUUAAAUAUUUGUAAAAUUGCAAUGGUAUGGUUCCAAAUACGCGAACACUGAUAGCAUAUUUCAAAUCCGGCAAAUUUUUAAUGGCAUAUAUCUAAUUAACCCUAUAUAUAUUGUCUCCCAAUAACAUCAAUGCAAACACAUUCACCUUUAAUACUACCCUACCAAAACAUUAGUAGUGUCAAAAUUUGCUUAAAUUUUGGUACGGUACUAAGCCAAACAAGCCCAUAAUCUUCCACAUCUUCCCUGAUUUGAACGUGCUUAUCGUAAAAAAAAAACCAUGAUUAAAUUAUUGAACUAUGGAGGACUGGAGGCUAUAAAUUAUAAUCUAAUUUGAGUUUAAUUCCAAAAGAAUAUUACGAGCCCUUAGCCCGGUCAAAAUAUCGGGCGUGGAAAGCCGCCAUUCUAUAUCAGCUUCAUGCUAGAGCACCUCUGCUGUUGAUUCAGUAAUUCACUUCUAAAUUUCUAGGACAAAAUUUCUAUGUUUCCUUUCCUAAAUAAUAUGUGGAGCUCCAGAGUCCAGAUUCCGGCCAUUGGAUCAAGCCAUCCGAGCACCGUAUCGCGUCAUUAGCCCUGCACAAUUUCAGAACUUCCAGCAGGAAGAACACGGGAAGACUAUCGAAGUGUGUACUCAGAAAGCUUAUUUGCAACUGUCAACUUGGGAGAAUUGCCCUUCAAAGCUAUUCGUCAGCUUCUCGGCAGCUGCUUCUACCCUCUGAUUGUCCUGAAAUUAAGGUAAAUAAAUGAACUCUGUAAAACUACUGCUCUGGGGAAUUAGAUGUAGUACUCCAUACUGGAAAUGCAUACUCCCUCCAUCCCAAAAUAAAUCAACCUAAGGCAGGAUGUAACAUUACCUAGUACAAUGAAUCUGGACAAGGGCAUAUCCGGAUUCGUUGUACUAAGUAGUGUCACAUCAUAGCAUAGAUUAGCUAGAAACUAAGGUGUCCCAUUAGUGCACAAACAGGACAAGCUUACAUCUGUAUGCAAAUUAGUUGUUGGUGGUUAACGAUUGUCUUUGCUUUGAUUAAAACAAGGGUGCCAAAAAAGUACAUAACUUCUCUUAUGUUAUUUCCAAAGAACUCGUAAAGACAAAAGUUUUACAUGCUAGUAUGCUGUUCUGCGGAAUAAAUGGAGUCUGCUACAAAGAGAUCGAGCACAUACCUUCCCAAUAAAACUCACAACCAAAGGCCCAGAUCUUGAGAUCCGAUAACAACCUGCACGUCAAAAACAUUAACCACCAGAUCAGAAAUUUUGCAAAAUCAUUUCCCACAAAGAAAAUAAUGGGAGCAUCAAAUCAUACCUAUGUAUACAUCAGAAAAAUCUAUGCAUAGUUUUGCAACCACUGGGGCAAUUUUAACCUGAAAAAGAACACAGUAAAAGUUUAUCAGAUACUGAGAUACAUAAUGAAGUACUUCUCCAAAAGUAAAAGUUCCAAUUAACUUGCUAGUUAAUUGGAGAAAAUUUUCUCCAAGAAGUGAGAAAAUUCCCUACAGGAUUUUCCAAGAAGUUUUUUUUUUCUUUUUGAGAAUUAAUGGAUAAGGUGGAUACUAAACGUAAAAAUGGAAUUAACAAGUGUGCAAUAUUUAUCCAAUAGUUGCCAGGAAAGUAACAUCUAGGAUUGAAGGAAGGUAAAGACAAAUAGUGAAAUAUAAAACAGCUACACAAAGAAACAAUCGCGAGGCAUAGCAUUUGGUCAAAAUCAAGAUUAUUGAGAUACUACAUCAAUAGGGGUCAUUUACAUUGUUCUAUUUUAAUGAUUGAUAAGUGAAAUUAUUUAAGACCAAACAUACUAUAAUGAUCUAUUUUGGAACUGACAGGGAUAAAAUAUGAAGGAACUGAUUCUGAUAACACAACUAGAAUAAAAACAAAGCAAAUUCUGACUGAGUCGAAGAGACAUACAUCUAAUAGCGACGUGCAGAGAUGCUUUGACACAAAAGAUUUAGCCAUCACUAAACCGCUCUCUUGUGUGUCUAGAAGACAACCCCACUCCGUUUCAAGCUCAUCCACAUUAGUUGCAGCGAGAAUGACCACAUUUUUGCAUUUGAUCUGCAUAAGAAACCAGUUAUCUAUAAGACAAAUGAAAAAAAAAGGAAGCAAUUUCCGACUCUCUUUUCAUAGUUUACAGUAGGCAUUUUCGUCACUUCCUAAUUGGAUGUCAGGCUUUUCAUUCAGGCAUACUUACUAAACUUUGGAUAUAUGUUAAUACCUCUGUCCCGAAAUAUAAGGGAUUUUGGUAUGCGACUUAAUAAAUGUGCAUGGACCUUGUUACUACAUCAGAUUAUAUCAUUGGCACAUGCUAACUUUGGAGAAAUUACACCCCUUGUAAAGCCAAAAAUAUGUUCACCAAAUAUGUAUUUCAGAAGUAAUUCAAAGAAAUGCAUUAAAACAACAUAACGUACCAAUGGCAACGGUAGCAUUUUGUGAUGCAAUAAUUCCGUAAUACCUUCUGGCAACAAAGCCAUCUGAAAGAGAUGUGGAGUUAAAUGAUAAUACUGCAGCUUGCACUAUGCUAGAAUAAACAUGCACAGCACUAGAUAUUCAAGAAUUUAAUUGUAUUUGCGAACCAGAUUACCUCAUUUCGAUCACCAGUGUAAUUGUCUCCUAUCAGUUGACUAAGGUAUUCUUCAAACUCUUCAUCAGGAGCCUAUGAAAAUUCAAAUUAAACAUGUUGAUAACAGUAAAUGGCAUUUGUGAUUUGUUCAGUCAAAUUCAUGAAGCAACCAUUUAGUGUAUGACAACAGUUCAAGGCUAUGCACAUUUUUCCAACAGAACCAGCAAGAGAGCUGAAAGCUAUGCACACUGAGGACUUUCUAUAUUUCAAAGGGCUGUCAUAAGAAUAUUUUCAUGUGAAACUGCAACCAAUAGAGCAACAAGCUUUCGAUUUGUCAUCUGAAAUAAGAAAUGCAGCAAAUGCACAAAACAAUACUAGGAACAAUGAUUUUAUACAAAGACAAACAUGAAUGACCACUCUAAUAAGACAUUGCUGAAUUACUUGUAUCACUAGAAGCAAGAUGAUUUUAGAAUAAAGGAACACUGAAGAGCAGAAGCUCAGCACAAAGUAGAGGCACAGCAGAACUAGAGCAGAAGGAUAAAGGUGAUCAUGACUAACAAUUAGGCUGGGAACCUACUAUAACAAAUCCUACAGCGAAAAGUUUCAAUGAACGCACCAGACGAACUCCAAAUGCUUUUGCAACGCCAGCCAGCGAAAUGUCUGAAUGUAAAGGCCCAAGUCCUCCAACAAGAAACACCUGAAAUACAAUGUGAAUAUCAUCACACACAUUAUUAAUCCAAAAACUUCAUAAAAUGAAAAGGUCGAUAAGCUAACCAUGUCAUCUGUAGAUUUGCAACGUUCAACUUCUUCAGCAACAGAAUCAAUCUGCAUAACAAUAAUUUCUGUUAGAUAUUAUGUGCCAGAAAACUGGCAAAGUUGGCAAGUAGAUUGCAUAGUUCACAGCAGUUGCAAGUAGGCUGCAAGCUCCCACAUGGAGCCUAUAGGACAUACAACUAUUUCGAUUCAUUUAACUUAUCUUACUUCAUUGGAAACAACUGCUACAUGAGAAACUCGCCAGCCAAUUGCAUGAAGCUUCUUGCACAAGCCUGCACCUAGCUUAUCCUCAACUGUGCCGAACCUGAAAUACCACGCACGUGUAUCAAUAAUUGUAUAAAACAACUGUCAAUGAAUCAUUUACACAAAAAACAAUAAACCAGAGUAUCAGCACGGCAACACCAAAUUCUCCAACAGUAGUAAAGAAAAAUCCUUAUAUUUUGAGCUUUGGAAUGCCUGGUUGCACUUUGAAUUGACUUUUAAUGAUUCUGAACACAGACAAAUGAGUCAAUGAAACUCAUUCCACUAUCAUUUUCCCCCCUAGAAAUGAAGAUGUUUCUACUGUAUCAAAUAGCGGGAGAGGUAUAAACACAGCUGAUCGCAUUUGCUCUUCAGUGUCCAAACUACUGAUAAAAUAUACUUGUUGCAUUUAUCCAAAAGGCAAUGCCAAAAAAUAAACUAAAUUAGUGUAAAUGUACCAUAAAUUUCAGAGAGAGAGAGAGAGAGAGAGAGAGGCCAGUGUGCCAGUAGCCCAGUACUGCCAAAGAAAAGGCUGUUGGAACUGCAAGAACCUUGGAAUGACAGAAUUAUAUCUGUAGAGGCAAAUUGGAAAGAUUACUCACAAUAUUUCAUCACCAACUACAAUGAUCGACGCUGAGCGUGAGAUCGUCUGUUCCACCUCAGUACUGUUUGUACCAUUGCUUGAAACAGAACUAAUAUUCUUCUUUGUUCUGCCAGCUCUUUCAAGCCUUCCGUCUGAUAACAUGUAUGCUGGCCUAAAACUUUUCCCAGUUGUUGAAUCACAAAGAAGCGCAUUGGGAACAGUAUCAUAUAUGCUUCCAAUGGAAGUAUACCUAGAAACAACACAAGUACAUGACAUUGUAAGAUAAACUAGAAAGUUUAUAUGGAAAUCUAUAUAGCACUCUCAAGUGGCUUAAAUUACAAGGUAACUUUACAUAGCUGAUGUUCCACAAGCCAUUUUAUAUAAAUUUAUUUAAAGUAACAACAUGAUAAACGGCAUUUUUUGACCCCAUAGGUAUCGAUACGCUAAACAUUCAACAGAAGUUAUGCAUACAGACCAUUAAAAUUUUGGAUUAUGAACAUGAAAAGGAAACCUACCCUUGAUCAUAGAGGCUGCAGUAUUUCACCUUACAGGUCAACAGGAAAGACCAAACAUCCCUGAGGCAGAAGUAUAGUGUUCCUUAGCACAUGAAUAUUAGCAGACUAGGAGGCACCUUUUGAUUGAUUUACAUGAUCAGGAGGAAAACCUGUAUGACCAGUCCAAUAUAGGAUUGACCCUCAUGAAAGGAGGCCAGCCAGGUGAACUAGGCGAGAACUGCUCUUGACCAACCUAUAAUCCCAAACUGUAGUAAGUAAUAGGUUUAUCGGGAGUCUAGGGACAUCAAUAAGUGAAAGGUCUAUGGGCAUGAGGAUUGGACAUAACAAGUCUAUCGAGAUUUGAAGAGCAACUAAACAAGGGAACAAGAAAAUUACUGCAUUUGGAUCGCCAAUUCUAGUACCAAUAAAAAUUGCUUUAGUAGGCCUCUCUUUCAAUAGGCCUUCUAGGCCAGACUUAAAAUCCGAGCGGAUAGUUUCCAGUGGCAAACCAUAACUGUGGAGAACGGAGGACAAAGAAUAUUUCAUUUAACUUCUCAAGGUUAGCAAAUAAACAAAGACAACGAAUCUUAGUGAUUUCUUACGUUGAGACAGUUUCAUAAGUGAAUGAGUUGAUUUCAGGGAAAGCACAAGGGCUCUCAAAAUAGAUGGUGCGCACAGGACAGUUUUGGAUAGUAUUCAUUUCGACUUCACCAUCAGAGCUUGAUUUGUGGAGGUAGUAGCCAGCCCGAAGUAAAUGCAACAGAACCUAUUGAUAUAUAGCAUUCAUAUCUUGUUAAACUUGCUAAUAGAAAAAACCGUCACUUAACAUACAGAAGAAAAAUGACAAGCAAGAGAGAUUAUAAAGAUAUUACUGUUGAAUCCUUCCCACCAUUAAAGCUGAAGGCAACUUCCUCAAACCUGGAAAAUGAAAUUUCUGAGAAUGAGAUUUAGGAUGUUCCUGUAUUCAAUGUAUAUAUAAAAUGAGAGCAUUCAAACCAACCCCACCCUCUAUUGAAUAUCCAUCCUGGACAAGUGCAGAACCAUUUAAAAAAACUAAAUAGGGAAAUUAAAGGAUAGGGUGCCAAAAAGAACUGUCAAUAUGCAUUUGGGGAACAUCUGCCUUGUGCCUUAUUCACAUAAUCCAGGUAUAACUGGUUGAAGUUUUCAAAGAAGACUAAGUCCCCGUGCACUGCAAUGAUAUUUAAACUCCCCACCAGCCAUUACUUAUAUCAUGUUCAACACAACUGGACAUCCCACAUUCCAGUUAUUCAAGAAGUUUGCAUGAUUAGAAUUAUAAUUCAUCAUUCACUGAAAAAAUCUUUAGUGUCCUACAGAAAUGUCAUUAUGACCUUACCAAAAUAUACUCUGCAUUGGAACAGCAUGAAGAUUUGGAUCAGAACAUGUACACCAUCAUACUUACAAGCUAAAAACAUAGCAGUCACACAACCCAGUUGGCAUGAUAAAUGUGCCUGAUAGUAUAGUUAGGAGAAAAGGUAAAAAUUUGACUCCAACUAUGUGAUUUCAAACACUCGACAUCCUCAAGAAAUUGGUAGGCAGUGUUGCAUUUUCACUCGAAUUACAUAUUCUGAGCCGCUUGAGAUAUAGAAACUGAAACUAAAAUUGAAAGUUUAUGAAUCGAUGCAUGUAAUUUUGGAAGCUACUUUAAAGCAUGCAGGCACAUACUUUCAUCACAGACUCAGAUUAUUUAGCUCAAAAUUUGCAGAUGUAUUCCUCUGCAAAGGAAAUGUGGAAACACUGGAUGGACCUUUCCCUGGUUUAAGAUGACGUGACAAACAAGCAUCAUGGGUUUUCACUCCCCGUAUGGAUGUAGUUUGAUUUAGAAUCUCCUUUCUCAUCCAAAGAAACUCGAUUUUAAGUUAAGUGUUGACUAAAAAAGGAAACAGUUUACAACUCACAAAAUGGAUGUAUAAAUAUUUAGCUCAUCAGAACUGGCAUAAGAACAGCCGAUACAACCUGACUAGCCAACAACGAAAACAAUGUACCUACUCCCGUUGUAUCCUGGACAGCAUUCAAGACACAGGUACUUUAAUCCGUGGUCCGAAUCAACUGAAAAUACAGUUCGACAGAGCAAUCCAGCCGAAAUCCAAUCGAUCGAGACUAGACGAUUGUUGCGGCAGCCAAUCCAAAUAGUCUAGACCGUCCUAAAAAAUUGCUACUAGUUGAUGUUCAGAAACUAUAACAGCAUACACCAUUGCACAAAGGGGAUUAAGAAAUCGAACAGGCAAAUAGGGAUGAAUUUUCUGUUGGUAAGGACACACAAAUUUAGAAUGCAUAUCGGGAUUAAACAGCUGCAGCGACCUGCAGUUUGGGAUCUAAACCCCCAAGUCGAUAUUCCUCUCUCCAAUCUGUGAUUACCACAUUUAUCCCCAAAUCCAUCCGAGCUGGAUGAACCAGCCAAACCAACCCACUCGUUACGGGGCACGCGCCAAACCAAACCCGACCCGAUCGCGGAAAGCAGCAACCCCAACAAAUAUCGCGUUGAUCAUCAUCGAGCUAAGACACCACCACCACCAUCACCGCUACCACACGAAUCUAGUGAGAGGGGAGGGGGGGAGGAGGGGGGGGGCGCGUACGGGUAGAGCGCGAAGGCUCGCUGCACGACGUAGACGGCGUUGUCGUACUUGGUCCGCAGGCGGCGGUCGCUGCUCCCCCGCACCGCCCGGUCGAUCUCCAUCCCCACACCUUACUCCUCCCUCCUCCUCCUCCUCCUCCUCCGGAGAGAUGCCGAGCCGGCGCGGAGAAACGACCAGGGGGGGCCUCUCCACCGCAGAGGAACACGGCCGCCGCCGCGGCGGAGGGGAGGGUGGAGAGCUCCGCCGCCUUCUACCGCCGCCGCCGCGGCGCUGCGUAGGAGGAGCGGGGAGGGGAGGGGAGGCUUGGCCUGGCCUCCACAAAGGGAAGGGAAGGGGAGGAGGGGAGUGGAUAGACGGGGGCACGUUUGCGGAUGCUGUUUCUGCGUCGGGGCCUUUUUUCCGCUUCGCUUUCGUUUCGAUGAUAGUACUCCUCUUUUCUAUCGUUCUCUUCUCCUUCUCCCACUCUUCCGAUGUUCUUCUCGUCUCGCGCGCGUUCGGGUAGGUGGACCCGGCACGCCGCUGACGUGGUGGUCUGGACCGGAAAUCCUCCGACUACUCCAUCCGUCCCAAAAUGUAGGAUGGGUUGUUUGGGCCUGUUUAGAUCCUCCAUAACUUCUUUUAACCUCUCACAUUGUUUGGAUACAUAUAUAAAAUAUUAAAUAUAGAUAAUAUAAAACACUAAUUACACAGAUUAUAGGUAAAUUACGAGACGAAUCUUUUAAGCCUAAUUGAUCAAUGAUUUGACGCUAAUGACAUAUUAAUUAGGCUUAAUAAAUUCAUUUCGCAAUUUACAUGCGGAUUCUAUAAUUUGUUUUGUUAUUAGACUAUACGUUUAAUACUUCAAAUGUGUAUUUGUAUAUCCGAUGUGACACGACAAAAUUUUUCACCCCUUGAUCUAAACACAGCCUUACUAUAUUUUAAGAUAGAGGUAGUAACCACUUACUUCCUCCGUCUCAUAAAAAACAAAUCUACAUCUAAGUACUAUGAAUUUAUAUAUAUAUAUAUAUAUGUAUAUAUAUAUAUAUAUGUAUGUAUGUAUGUAUGUAUGUAUGUAUGUAUUUGUAGUAUUAGAGCAAAUUUAAUAGUGUAGCCAACUAUUGACUCCAAAUCAUCUAUAGUUAACUUAAUAACCGAUUCAUACAAUAGUUACCUAUAAACAUAUACUACACAAUCAAUAUCUGGUCCCAUCUGUCAUACACACAUGCGUCUUGGAGUCCGUGCUACAGCUAGCAACAAAUCUGUAGCCCGCUGCUUUUAUCUCUCCUCUUUUAUCUCGUUAAAAUAUGUAUAUUAGCUGGCUUAUAGUUUGCUAUUGUACCUACUCUUAGUAUGUGUCACAUCCGGUAGCAGGUUGUUUUUUUAUGGGACGGAAGGAGUACAUUUAGGCCCGGGAAACGAUGGGGCUCAUAUAUCCAUGACUACAUCUCUCUAAUUUCACGUCGGAGGGUCUCUUUUCAUCUGAACCUUCUCCUGUCUGUUUACUCUUUUUUUUCAAAUAAGUGAGGCUCAUAUAUCGUUGUUUAUACUAUUACUGAUCUACGAAAGUAAUGGAUAGAAUAGUCAUCGAUGACAAAUAUGUAGCAUAAACAACAACGAGUAUUGAGAAAGUAGAAUCAACCAUGCUUGUAUGGUUGUAUGGUUUAAUCCUGAAUUUAUAUGUACAUAAGAAAAAGUUGACUUUAUUUGAUUGAUAUUCAUAUAUACUACUCCGUCCAAAAAAAAUAUUAAUUCUAGCUAUGAAUUUAAUUAUACAUAUAUCUAUAUACAUUGUUAGAAUUGUUUUUUUUUAUGGAACGGAGGGUAUACACAAUCUGAUGGCGUGCCAUUUCUUUAAUUUGGUGUAUAUAAAAGGACGACGGUUUGAACUAGCCUUGGGUAGGUUACUGCUUUACAUGCACUCCUUACCGGUCUGCAGAGAUUAGGUAGAUGUUGGUUGGAUUUUUGGAUGGGCAUGCACAUUCGCAUUGGCGAAUGGCGACCCAUGUAGCUAGCCAACGAGCAACAUCGUCCACAAAGAAACAAGCGAUUCUCGCAUUGUACAAAUGGACCAGCGUUGUGCCGUGGCGUGGCUGAAUUGAACACAAGCGUGAGAGAGAGUUCGUCACUCGACGGUAGUGACCAUACCAUUCGUUAAUGCAGUAGUAUACUGGAUUUUAUUUGGAAUUAAAAUAUCGUCUUGGAGAACGCAAGCCAAAGUUGAAAGAGAUGCUACCCAAACAAUCUCACACCGGUUAAUACUAAGUAAAGGGAAAAAAAAACAAAUUGAGAUGUAUUAGACAGUGCAGUGGUACGAAAUGUGUGGUUUUAACUAUGAGAUCUCAUGUUCAAUCUUUAGCACACUCAUAAUUUCUUCGUAAAAACUGUUUGGAGCGAAGGCUCUCCAUCCAAAUCUUGUUCUUCUUUCUGAAAAAAAUUGCAUAUUCUCAUCUUUUACAAUUAUAUAGGUACAAGUUCUCGACAAGAUUUUUCUGAAAUAAAGCAUAUUCUCAUCUUUUACAAUUAUACAGGUACAAGUUCUCAACAAGAUUAUGUGAGCAUUGAUACUCAUAGAGAGGUAUUGGUGAAUGAAUAUAUAUAGUGUCAAUUUUUGUGUCAAAUAUGAAUUUGCAAUCCCCCCCUAAGGUGGUGUUUGAGUCAUCUGAAGAUGAAGAUGAAGAUAAAUAUUAAGUGUUUCACGUAAAACGAGAUGAUAAUAACGUGUGAUUAAUUGAGUUUUAAUUAUUACAAACUUAAAAAUAGAUUAAUUUGAUAUUUUAGAGCAACUUUUAUAUAGAAAGUUUUCACACGAAAUACAUCGUUUAGCAGUUUAAAAAACGUGCCAUAUGAGUAUCUAAAAUUUCAUCCCAUCUUUUCAGUAGAAACGAACAGGACCUUAAAUCUCACGGUUGAAAUGUACUGUACUACAGUAAAAUUCACCGACUCAUCUGUUGUUGUCGUGGUUCAUCGGUACUCCCUUCGUCCCAUAAAAAACUAACAUAGUAUUAUAUGUGAUAUAUUUUAAUGCUAUGAAUGUGGACAUACCUCUGACCAGAUUCAUUGUAUUAGAAUAUGUCACAUCCAAUCCUAGAUUAUUUUUUAUGGGACGGAGGUAGUACUGCUGAUUAAUUGUUUGCAGUAUAUUUACCUUCCUCUUUUCUCUUAACUUUCUUUCCUCUGCUAGCCCUUUAAAGCGUUCCAUCUGAGAUACUCUCUCCGUCCUAAAAUAUAAAAACCUAUGACCAAUGUCCAGAUUCGUAGUAUUAGAAAAUAUCACAUUCAAUAUUAGAUUCUUAUAUUUUAGGAUAGAGGGAGUAUUAUGUAUGCCGGUUUAAGGGGUUGUAUGGUUAUGUACUAAGGUUGUAUAGAUUUGCCAUAUAUAUUUUUCAAGCUUGCCAAAGAUGAAACAAUCAAAAUUUUCACCAUGUCACAUCGAAUGUUUGAACACCUACAUAAAGUAUUAAAUAUAGGCUAAAAUUAACUAAUUGCACAGUUUGCGAGUAAUUUGCGAGAUAAAUCUUUUAAGCAUAAUUACUCCAUGAGUUGACAAUGUGGUGCUACAGUAAACAUUUGUUAUUGACAGAUUAAUUAGGCUUAAUAAAUUUGUCUGGCGGUUUACGGACGGAUUUUGUAAUUAGUUUUUUAUUAGUGGCUGAACACCCCAUGCGACACUCUAUAUAACACGCAAAAACUUUAAGCCCCUGGAUCUAAACACCCUCUAAGUGAAUAUUGCUGAAAUUUUUUUAGUCGCCGUCACAUGAGACCUGACCUAUAAACAUGCCUGAUCCACCACUCAGCUGUGCAUUUGGGACGCACGCUGCCAAAUAGAAGUGUACCUGGAAAUCUGGAAUCAUAUCAAGGGCAAAUGAAAUGCAUCAUCCAUUUGAAGGUUUACAUGAAAGAGUAGAAAAAUGAGCUGAAGGUCAGCAGGGAACAGCUAGGAGUAGAAUCUUGUUAGGUUACUACUACUCGUACUAAUUUGAUGUGAUAAAUUGCACUAUGACCCACAGGGGAUAAGGCUAUGUUUAGUUGGUGAAAUGAAAAUUUUUGGGUCACAUCGAACGUUUGACCGGAUGUCGAAAAGGGUUUUUGGACACGAAUAAAAAAACUAAUUUUACAACUCGCCUGGAAACCGUGAGACGAAUCUUUUGAGCCUAAUUAAUCCGUCAUUAGCACAUGUGGGUUACUGUAGCACUUAUGGCUAAUCAUGACCUAAGAGCACCCGCAAUGGUAAAGUAAGGUGCUCUCUAUAAAACAUGUACAUCUCAGCAAUAGACUAGAUUAAUAGUAAACCACCUCAAUAGUAUGUCUACAUGGGUAUCUAUAGCUCUCUCAUGCAUUGUCUCGUUUUUCUCUAUAGACUAUCUCUAAGUUGGUAGAUAGUUUUGCUCUCUCUCUUCAUUUAAUAUCUUCUAUGUAGGAAAAUAUGCUGACAUGGAUCUCUGGUAGAGAGCCUAUAGAUAACCAUUGUGGGUGCCCUAAUUAGACUCAAAAAAUUCGUCUCGCGAUUUACAUGCAAACUGUGCAAUUAGUUUUUUAUCUAUAUUUAAUGCUUCAUAUAUGUAUCCAAAGAUUCAAUGUGAUUUUUUUUAUCAAGAGACGCAAAGCAAAGAUUCAAUGUGAUGUUUUUUGGAAAAGUUGUUGGGACUAAACCGGGCCUAAACCUAACGUCUACCAAAAAGGUGUGACUAUUGAAAAUCAUAAAAGGCUGCAGUACUUGACCGUGCAGUACAUCAUUGUCACAGCAAAGCAUUAGAAUUGGCUCCUCUGAAAAGAGAAUGAAAGUCCGAUUGACUCGCAUGAUCAGGAGACAAUCCUGCAAGACCAAUUCAGGAAUGGAUUCACCCUCUUGAGAGAAGGACAGACAGGGGAAUUGUUUUUGACCAACCUCAAAUUGCACUACUGCAAAAGAAUCAAUCAAGGGACUCACCGCAUUCGGAUCGCCGUUUCUAGUGCCUAAAAAUUGCUUUGGUAGGCUUCUUCUUUGGGAAGGCUUCUAUGGCCAUAUUUGAGGAAUUUUUAACCUCCACAACUUCUCCUAAAAUCUUAAGCUCUUUUAAACAGUUAAUAUUCUCACUUAGAUUCCUAUUCUAGAAAAUGACAAGCCAAAAACUGAAAAACCUAAAUUUUCCAAAUUCUCACUAGCUGGAUUCUUACUGGUUGCUUCUUAAAAUUUUAAUCUUCCCAAACGGUAAGGUGAUUCUCACCAAAACGUUGUCAUCUUGUUGGUUGGAAUUUGGAACUAACUAUAUAUGCUAAAUAAUUGAAACAAUAGGUAGAAGGAAAUGUAAAGGUGUUUACAGUUGAAUAUUUGCCACCGUUGAAGCUGAAAGCAAUUUCCUCGAACCUGAACAAUGGACAAUGGAAAGUAUAAUUUGCAAAGGAGAAUAGUCAAAACAGUCUCUGAAGUUUUCCCUUUGAGGCCAAUCUAGUCCAUAACAUUUUUAAAAAAUUGUCACACGGCUAGUCCUUGAACCCACAGGAAACAAUACAUUAGCAAGCCACAUCAGCAAGCCGUUAAAUGUCCAAUCUACCCUUAGAUAUACCAUUAUUUUUUUAAAAAAUAAAAGAACAAAGAAGAAAAGAAAGAAAAAUAAAACAAAUGAAAAAAAUAAAGACAGCACGGAUACAAUAACGUUGGGGUUGGGUCAAUCCUUUUGUCUUUUUUUAUAUUUUUAAUGAUAAAUGUAAAGGCGGAGAAACGCCCAGGGGUUUUUCGGCUAGCUCCACAAUGUGGUGGGCUAGAUGACCUGAGUUCGAAGCUUCACCCCUUCUAGUUAUUUGAUAUUAGGUGUUUCCCUAAUAUGCGUGUCGUUAUAAAUGUAAAGGUGGUUUGGACAUUUACGGCCCCAUCGUUUGGCUUAAUCGUGAAAUAAGCCGACGACGAGCGUGCCGAUGUUGUGUGGCGAGAAGAGAGGAAGAAGAGAGGAGGGAGGAGAGAAUGAAGAUGACAUGUGAGUCUCACAUGGGGCCAUCAUUUUUUUAAUCAUUUUCUAGUAUAACUGACACAUGGGUCUCACAUUUUUAUUUUAUUUUUAUCAAAUUGCCACGUAAACGUCACAUUAAUACCACAUGAGAUAAAAACAUAGUCAAAGGAGCCACAUAGAUGCCAUGCCAAUCAAAACCAGUAACAAUACUGCCGAGGGACCUUGUUUGCACUGGUUUUAUAAGUUAGGGGAUGGAUUGUACCUGUUUUUGUGGUUAAAGGAUGAUUUUGUAAUUAAGUGACGGGAUCUCUGGUGUACUUUUUCCAAACAUUUAAGAGUUGCGAAAAAACGUUCUAUGGGCCCUGACCCAUUACCACACCUACGUGGAAAAAGUAUAUCAAAGGUCCCUCAACUUGUCAUCGGGAUAAAAAACGUCCUCGAACCGCAAAACAGAUAUGCGGGGUCCCUUAACUGUACAAAACCGGUCACCCGAGGUUCUUCGGUGGUUUUGACUCCGGUUUUGGUCUACGUGACGGCUGAGUCAGAGUGGAACCCACGUGGGCCCCACAUGUUAGGUGUCCACUUCAUCUCUCUCCCUUCCUCCUCUCUCUCCCUCUCUCACUUCUCUCCUCUUGGGCAGGCCAUGUCAAGCGCCGCGGCCACCACCACGGCGACCUGCGGCAGCAAGGGGCAGGCGCAGCGGAGCGGGACGGUGAGGUUGUCACCGACGGUGGGCUCCUACAGCAUCGCCAGCCGCACGUGAGGAUACCUUCGGAGGCGGCGGCGACGGUGAGGAGGAGGGGGAGGUGGGCGACGCAGUCCUCCGUCGGCGGCGAGGAUGGGGACGCCGCCAUGGUCGUCUCGCCGCACAAGGUUGUCGCGCGGCGCGCCGCGGCGCACAGCUCGGUGCUGGAGGGCGCCGGGAGGAUGCUCAAGGGCUGCGACCUCCACCACGUCCGCAACGCCGUCCUGUGCCGCACUGGAUUCCUCGACUGAGAGGGCGGAAGCGAGUCGUCUCGUCGCUUUGGGGAUAAAAUUUUUGACCCUUUCUUUCUUGAGAAAAUUCGAUCCAUAGCACAGGAAAGAAAGCGGUACCAAAAAAUAGCACAAAAAGUUUCCACUUUCGAUCCAUAGCAUAGGCCACCGAUUUUUCUUCGCCCUAUAGCACUUCUGUCACAUUUUGAAGUAACGGUGUUAGAUCAGUGUGGAGAAAUUUUUUGUCGGACACAUUUGCCCUUCGUUCCCCACAUUCCCCAACAGGGCUCCUCUUUCGCUCCCUCGUGAAUGGCAGCGCGGCAGCCAUCGGCUUGCCUGGAGACCGGCUCGCCGUCACCGCCGACGGUGAGGUGGACCCUGUCUGGCACUCGGCGCUGUUGAUCGAGGGCAAGCCUCCCGCGCCGGCGGCAGCUUGACGACGAGGACGACGACGAUGACGUGGGCGGCCCUAGCUUCGGCAUGGAUGGAUGUGGCCCGUAGUUGCCGUACUCGGCGCCAGAACAACCUCUCCCUCGCCACGGUGCCGCAGCGCGCUGGCUUGCCACUACUUCCACGUGACAAUGACGACGAUGACAGCGACGGGGACGAUGACCUGCAGCGGGGCUGUGGCGCGCGCUGGCGGAUGUUGGGAUGAUUCGUGAGUGGGCGGACUGCGGGCUUUGUCGGCUCCGUGACCUUGGGCGGCGACGCCGCUAACGAAUAGGCGGCCAGGAGCCGGCAGGCCGGAAGCGCGGCGUCUCCACCUCCUCCUCCACCGCCUUCCUCCCGUGCGGAUCUGGCCGGUGCUCCACCCCACACGCGCGAAUCGUUCGGCGGCGUGGCGGAUCUGGCGCGAGCAACGGUGGGAGGCAUGGUGGCGGGUGCCGAUCGGGAGCGGCUGAGCGGGCGGGUGGGAGGGAAGCGCGGCUCCGUCAGCUCACCAAGCGUCGGCGACACGGGCGCGGCAACAUCACCAAGGGAGAAGAGCGCUAGGUCGGGGAAGAAGGGCAAAUGUGUCUUUUUUCAUGUCAACUCACAUGUUUGGAUGGCAAAUGUGACGGAAGUGCUAUGAAUCGCAAGAAAAUUGAUGCCAUGUGCUUUUAGUCGAAGUGAAAAAUUUGUUGUGCUAUUUUUUGGUACCAGGUUUUUUCCUGUGCUAUGAUCGAAUUUUCUCUUCUUUCUUUGAUUUUGUUCCCCUCAGUUGUGUGUUUCCGGCUAUCUUGAUUUCUUCCCUUUCGUUGGAAUGGGAUGGAAAGAAUUGAGGCGAGUUUGCGAGGCAGAGAACACGAUAAAGAACGUACAUGGCGGGGGAGGCGGGGGAGGAUGGGCACGGGGGAGAGCGGGCAAGCGAGGACGGGGAGCAGCACGCGGAGGUCGGCGGCGGGCCGGGCGUCUUCCCCGGCGCUGGAGAGCAAGCGUGCCACCCAGUGCAGCGCCGCCUGCAGUCCCGACUUCCAUCGCGCCACCUCCGCCUCCCCGAGGUGUUCGGCCAUGGGCGUGGCCGGGAACUCGACCUCCACCUUCCUGGCCUUGGCGGCCGCAGCGGCCAGCGACCUCGGGGAGGUGACGUCCAGGGUGAGGAGCUCGCCCAUCUCCUUCUGCUUCGCAGAGCAGACGCGGCGGCGGUGGCCACCUCGGACGGCGAGGUGGCAGAGCGCGGCAGGGACGCAGACGACCGCGAGGACGACGAGCUCGGCAACGGUGAAAGGGAAGCAACAGCAAACCACGGACGGCGCCUUCCUCCCCAUAUGCCCUCGCUCCUGUCCUAUCUGCCUCCUCCUACUCCGUGCCCUCGCGCCGGCCUCUCCCGUGCCACCCUCGCCGCCAACGCCGCCGACGAGGCCCGCGUCCUCAUCCCUCGCGCCCGGAGCCGCCGCCGAUGACAAGGCCGGGUGGCGCGGACUUGUCGGCGCCGCCUCUCCCCAUCCGCAGCCGCGCUCGCCCGCCGCCGCCGCCGCCGCCGCCGCCGCACCGCCACCGCUCUCUCCCGCCGACGCCACACCGCUCUCGCCCGCCGACGCCGCCUCUCCGCAGCCGUGCUCGCCCAGUCGCCCAGAGAAGAUAAGAGAGGAGUGAGAGAGAGAGAGGAGAAAGGGAGAGGAGGGGAGAGGGUGGUGACGUGGCCAGCUGACAUGUGGGGCCCACGUGGGUCCCACGUUGACUCAGCCGCCACGUAGACCAAAACCGGGGUCAAAAACACCCAAGGAUCUCAGGUGACCUGUUUUGUAUAGUUAAGGGACCCCGUAUAUCUGGUUUUGCGGUUCGAGGAUGUUUUUGGUAUCCCGAUGACAAGUUGAGAGACCUUCAGUGUACUUUUUCCCACCUACGUAAGCUGCCUAGCCCAUUUGCAAGUUGCGAUGGGCUUGGCCCACUUAAGAAAACCUAAGCCCCCCCCAUUGCUACCUUCUCACUCCCUGUCCUCCCAAGUCCCAAUCCCCAGCCGCCACCCACACACAAGCGCGCCGUUGGCCGUCGCCGCUGCACGCCGGCGCCACGCCACCUCGUGGCCUUCGCCGCCGCACGCCUCCCUGACCCGGAUUCCGGAGUCCAGCCGCUGCUCGCCGUCGCCAGCUCAUCUUCGCGGGCUCGCUUUUGCUCUCGGCGCAGCGGCGCGGCGCGGGCGGUGGCCGGUGGCCGGUGCCCUCGCCGACUCGGCUUUGAGUCGCCUCGCCUCUCCACCUCUGAUCCUACUCCGGCUCUCCGGCGACACCGCUCCUCAAAAAAAAAAAAAAACGUCGCCUCGCCGACCACGAUGAGGAGGUUUGUUCGUUUUUUUUUUCUCAUUUUCUGACGCAGUGUAGGCGUGUAGCAGUAUCGUGCUUAUUUUGAGAUGAACCAUGGCACUUCAUUGAUUAAGUAAGUAGCAUCUGUACAGAGGACAUCCCGGAUACACUCCAAGAAUUACAUCUCGAAUGACGUUGAUGAGGAAAAUUGCCUGGGCAGCAGCGUUUUAAAUAGCAGGCUAAGACAUUUAGCGGUUAGUCUUCUCGGACAGAUCGUCACCUUGUAGCAGUGCUGCACAAUCAUGUUGACAUAUGCCACUGUCUUCUGUCCCACUUUACGCAGAUGCAAGGAGGAGGACUUGUUCCUUGAAUCAUUCCUCGCCUCCCAAAUGUCCCAAAGGGUGACUGCUAACACUGUGUUUUGGAGGCACUAACUCCUCUUCAUGAAAUCUGAAAUCCACUGUCUCAUACUUGUUAGUUCGUCCCUGCAUAAACUAAUCGGGAAAGUUGAUCUCACUUCGUCCCACACAGCAGUUGCGAAGGGGCACAAUAGGAGAACGUGUUUGAUAGUCAAAGCCACAUCUGAAUAACAAUUUUAAAAGCAGGAAUGCUUUUGUUUGAGCAUUGCAUUUAUCUACAGUAAAGCUAUGCAAUAUUUGUUCAGAACGAAACUUAUUAGGUGGAUUUGCAACUUUUAAUGGUAUAUCGAAUUUGUGGAUUUGGUAGUUCUGAUUCCUCUCUGAAUAACAGAUUAACAGUUAUGCCUCAAAUAUGAGAUAAGAGAGGUUGGAAAAUUAUAGUUGUGGAUUUUUGGAUUGAAUUCAGUAGCUCAUUUUGUUUCAAUUAUACACUUGUUGGUAAGUUUUUGCAUUGUCUGUAAUUUAUUUUUAACUUUGCUGCAACCAACCAUUGUAGCUAUGAGCCUGGACCAGCAUUUGAGGAGAACAGCGAAGAGGCUAUGCUUGACAUAUCACAAACAGAGUCAACGGAACUUUGGCUAAUACAGUGGCCUCUAAAUCAGGUUAUGCGGAUAUUAUUUUCAUUAUGUGCCAGGUGGCAUGCUGCACAAGGGAUCUCGAAUUUAACGUUUUUCUGUGUUGCAUGCAGUUAGAUGCGUCUGAUUUUCAUGGUCAAGAACUUACUCUUAAGUUGCACCGUGAUGGAAAAUUGAGCAGUUUGGAGAGUUCCUCGGGUAAGAUAUAUUCGAUGAACUAUGUUGCACCUGAUCGAUUAUGUCUUUUGAAGGUUUUUCAGCUUUCUGUACAGUCGGAUUGGAUGCAACCUGUAUUUGCUCAUGCAAUCACACUUUGACCUUAUUGAUUAGUUUUUCCCAAAGUGGGCACCUAGACUUCUCAUUACUAAUCCCAAACAAUGUUAAUCCUAUCAAUGGAACUGCUUCCAUUUCUAUGGUCAAGCUUGCCUCUCAUUUUUGUAUGAAGAUGAAGUCAAUGCUGGUUCAUUGAUGACUAGUAGUGUUUUGCAGAUCUUUAGGCAACAAAUGAACAAAUGGAAUUAAGGUGCUAUAAUUUAGUUUACAUAUAGAAGUUUUUAUGUUUAGUGUAUGUUCAGAAGUUUGAUUGGUGAAGUGAAAUCUGCUCUCAGCUUCCUCGUAUAAUAAUCCGUGAUUUGAAGCUAGAAUGAUAACAUUCAUCAGUAAGACUACUAGCAGUAGGCUACUAGGUUUUCUAACUUCUUUUUCUUGGUUAAGAUCGUCAGUUCGUCGCUUUUAAAUUAUUGUGGCAAUAACAAUUUAAAUUUUAAAGUUCUCCCAAAAGUUUGAGCUGUACUUGUUAUACUUAAUUUGGCAGGGAAGUCUUAUGAUCUUGUCAGCUUUGCUGCUCAGCAACCAGAUGCAACUGUUUUCCUUCCAUCCGGACCAGAAGCAAAAGCUGGUAUGCUGAAAUACCAACUUUGCAGUUUAUUUCUGCAGUAUUUUACUAUUUUGCAUGGAUGUUGUUUUUACUUGUUAUCGGUCUUGUUAAAUUGAGCUGUUUGUUGACCUAUUUGAUUUUGUGAUUUUGGUCGUGCUUGAUAGCACAAUCGGUAGAACACAUCUAUCAUUUCUUCCUUUCCUGGGAGGCAGCUAAUAUUGUUCUUUUAACUUACUGUAUGCAUAUUGUUCUUUUAAUCCUAAAAAAAUUCCAGUUGGGAAGAUUGCACGUCGAGUUAGCUUAGUUCGUUAUCCUGACCCUGAAGAACUGGAGAAGCCAGGUUUGGGGAGUCUCACUCCUAGCAGUAAGAAAUCUGCAGGUGAGUACAUUUUCUCAGGCAUCUUUUUAUAAUGAUGCCACUCUUCUGCUGUCUAUGGUGAAUGUAUUAUAUAGACUUGACAAGCAUGAUAUGCCAUUCCAUUUGAACUAGUCAAUAACUUAGACUUGUGUAGGUUUAGCCUCCUGUUUUAACUAGAAAUCCAGUAUCACCAGAUUUAACUUUGUAAGUGCAUAUUACUGUUCAAUCUUUUCACAUUGACAGUAAUGAGGUGAUGAACAUACUAUUUGUCUUAAGAUUUUUGGGCACCAUUGAAAGUUGACAUUAGCCAAAUUCCUGAUAUAUAUUAUUGAAGACUCAUGCCAAUGAUGCAAUGCAUGCUCUUGUAUUAUAAGAUGGAAGAACUGUUCUGAGAGAGAAAUACUAAGCUCAUCUCUGUAGUUUCUAUUUCUGUUGGUUAAGGUAUGCACUUUCAAUUAAUAAAGGUUUCCAGCCAACAGCUGAAGUGUUUUCUCUUUUUCUAUCAUAAACAGAACACUUUGGUAAACAGUAGUUGCUCUCACUGAUCUGAAUUUGUCCGGUCUUCCAGGUUCUUCAAAGAAGACGAGGUCUCGGUUCACUAGCGGGUCGAAGAACCGCAGCAGCCAAGGCUCAGCGCAAUCGCUGGGCCAACAGAGUGCCGAGCCCGCGCACAAGCACAAUCAGAAGAGAAAGGAUGAGAGCAGUUUGGGGCACUCGAAUGUAUCGGGCAAGUCGGCCGAAGGAUCCCAGGUUCGUGGUGGCGACAGCGGCACGACCUCGGAGGUUCCUCAGACGCCUGUGGAGAAAUCCAAGAAGAAGAACAAGAAGGUUAGGAUCGCCGAGUAAGCAGUAUCAUCGUAGCUCAGGGGGUCAGGAGAAGAGAGGUUAAUUUUCCCUGAACUGUCAGCAUCCCCCGGAGCUUUGCAAGAAAGGCGCAUUUUGUUUGGCUCAGUUGCAUUUUUGCGAUGAGGCUCGAGUGCCAUAGCACCUUUUUUUGUUUUUUUUUUGAAGAAAUGCUGAAACGACGCUAUUUUACUACUCCAUCCGUUUCACAAUGUUAGUCAUUUUAGCAUUACCCACAUUCAUAUUGAUGUUAAUGAAUCUAUCUAUUGAUAGCAUCAAUAUGAAUGUGGAAAAUGCUAGAAUGACUUACAUUGUGAAACUGAGGGAGUAGUAUCUUUGGUCCUAGCUCAGCUAAGAAAAUGUGCGUAGAAAGAAGAAACUGUGCAAUCACACGAGCUGAGGAUUGGGCCAUUUUGUUGGUCCAAUCGUAAUUUGUACGUGUAGACCAAUAUUCAAAAGUGCAUUUUCGUAUAUAAUUGUAGUUUCAGUAUGUCGUAUAAGCAUUAUAUAAUUGUAGUGCAUUUGAGAUACCGUAUGGGUGACCAAAACCAAGGACCAAGGUCAUGGCACAAUUUAAAAUCCAAGAUUUAUUGAAGCUAGAGAGCUAUGAUGGCAUUUAGAUGAAUUAUUUUGUUUCUUUUCAUAAAACUUGAAGUUUUAAACCAAUGCAAUUUUUCAGGCUUAUAAAUUUGGGAAAAUUGGUUAUAUAGCAUUGAAAGUUAACGUUUUUGGUUUUAUAGCACCGAAAGAUACCGGUUUCAGAGCUUAGAGGUAUGCCUAAUAAGGUGUGUGUGAAACUGUGCAUGCGUCUCUCCAGAGAAUGUGAGGCAUUUGGAUUUAUCCAAACCGUCCUGGGACUGGUUCCUGGAACUGGUUUUAAGCCUUUUAGGAGAUGAGAUAUUGCAUUGUUACAGGUUUCAAGGGUUUGUUCACUUUGCUACCAUUUUCAAUAUUAUCUUUUUUUGGCAAAGUUACAAAAAAAAGUGGCUAUAUUUUUUUAGUAAGUACAUAUAAAAUCUUGCCAAAAUUUUAGGGCCUGUUCACUUUGAUGUCAUUUUCAACCUUACCAAGUGAGAAUGUGAGGCAUUUGGAUUUUGGAAAUCCAAACCGUCCUGGAACUGGUUUUAGCCUUUUAGGAGAUGAGAUAUUGCAUUGUAACAGGUUUCAAGGGUUUGUUCACUUUGCUACCAUUUUCAAUAUUAUCUUUUUUGGGGCAAAGUUACCAAAAAAAGUGGCUAUAUUUAGUUUGUUGCUAAAUUUUAGUAAGUACAUAUAAAAUCUUGCCAAAAUUUGGCAACCUUACCAAAAUUUUAGGGUCUGUUCACUUUAAUGCCAUUUUUAACCUUACUAAGUUUUAGUAAAGUUGCUAAAAAAGUGGCUACAUUUAGUUUGCUGCUAAAUUUUGGUAACUAUAUAAGAAAUUCUGCCAAAAUUUGGUAAGAUUUUUUUUGCAUCAAAGUAAAUAGGCCCUUAGCAAUCUUAUCAAAAUUUGGCAAUACCAAAACUUGGUAAGUUUGAAAAUGAUAGCAAAGUGAACAAACUAAGGUUAAGAGAGGGUACGAUUUAAACUAAUCUUAGAUAAGGGACCAAAUGCGAUUCCCAUGGGCUUGGGCUUUGGGCCCUUGCGAAACCCUCGCAACAGCUGGACCGCCCGUGGAAGAGACGGACACCGUACGAUCGCCAUAAAACAGCCCAAGAACUCGAUCGGACGGCUGUCGUUGAUUCCUCCCUCUAUAAAUCCCCACCCAAACCCUACCAAUAGCUCUCACCUCUCAUGCCGUCUUCACCUUCGCUCUUCGUUGCGGCGCUCAAGGCCCCUCCUCCUCCGGAUUUGGAUUCGGUUUGUGAUCCUGAUAGGUGUUCUUCCCAACCAUAAGUGUUUAAUCCAAUAUAUUUUCAUUUGACUUGAUGCGUUGCUUGCUGCUUUCUUGCGUCGUCUCGAUUCAACUGUUUCCCGUUUUUCUUCUCUGAACCGAGCAAUGGCUGCGCUAUGAAUUUGGAUUUGAAUUUGAAUUUUUUUUACAACAACGCACAUGUAAAGAGUCCCCGGGUUCUUGAUCCUGAAUACCCGGGUGCCUAACCUUGGUGUGCGAGAGCUAAACCUUCGCCGGCUAUCCACGCUUCCUACCAGCAGGCGGGCGCUUCUUCGCCCUGUUCGCUUCUCGCGUGAUUCGCCGCAC
rnacentral:lncRNA from 1 species